AACUCACUUGAAAGUUUGAAGAUAGCGAGAUGGAAAACCGGGCAGAGUUUCGUCUCGGGAAACGGAUUUUUCUCGGGAUUCUCGGGAAUCUCGGGAGUAAAAUCGACCCUCGGGACUUGAGCAAAAAGACCAGAGCUUCGGGUUUGAAUGGGCACGGAAAACGAGGCAAGAUCGUGAGAGAAAGGAGAGAAAUGAGCAAGUUUUUCGGAAGCCUUCGCAUGUUAUUUAUAGGGGGGUCUGAGAAGCCUCGUACACGGGGCCUACGCUCGUACGCAACGCGUACGCGUACGUCAUGCAUGACCGAAGCCUCGACUGCCUCGGCUUCGGAUGGGACGGAUCNGGGUCGGUAGCCUCGCAUAGGGCAACGUGUACGAUCCGAGGCCAAGGCCCUCGGGUACGCAAGGCGUACAGGGGUAUGCGACGCGUACCUCUGAUGAGGACGCUGACUCCUCUUCGGAUAAUACUUGAUUUUUGAAUUAAAUAAAUAUAUAAUUUAUUUAAUAAACUUCAAAAAUUCAUAUCUUCUUCAUACGAACUCCAUUUUCGAUGGUCUUUAUAUCCACGUGUAGGUGAGACUACGCUCUACAACUUUCGUUUAGACUCCGUUGGCAAAUUCCGAAAUUAUUUUUAUUGUUUAUUUUAUAACUCAUCGUGUUUAAGGAAUUUCUUCAGAAAUUCAUAACUUCUUUAUCUGAAGUCGGUUUUUGCCAGACUUUUUACCGCUGAAAUAUCAUUGUCGAGACCUUCGAUUCUCGUUUAGGUCACUCCGGCCAAAAGUCGUUCGACCUCCAAUUCGAGUUUUUAGUUGUCUGAUGCUAAGCCGAACUUGGAAAAAUCAUAACUUCAAUAUACGAAGUCGGAUUUGGGCGUUCUUUUUUUUUUUUACGAUCAUGGUUUAAUGACAUUUAAACAUAGAAGGAGUUUAAAUAGAAACCUUUUGGACAUUUAUCAUUAGAGUUAAUUUUAUUAACUCAAAAGUGGUUACAAUACUUGACUUUUUAGGUCAUUACAAGGAAUUGAAAUAUCGGGUUGUCACAAAAAUAGAUUCCUUCACCACAACCAAAGGAAAAAAGAUUGGAAGGUAGCCAAACUUGCUGAAAAAGUAUGGAGACAAUGCGGUUUUGAUACCUUCAUGGAUGAGUCCUUGAUAAAUUCUUGGAUUAAUCCUCACCACAGACUGCUUGAUGAUGACUACACUCCUCACCUCACCUAUGCGGAACCCCUUUCAGAUGGCUACUGGGAUGUCCCAAUUUCUCCAAACGCCAGAUACUUCACUGUAUUUGAGCAGUUCGACUGCAGCCUUCCAGACACCAAAAGACUGCCAAUGGAAUUUGAGAGGCUUACUCUGUUUUAUGCUAAGCAUGCCUCUCCUAUUGAGAAUAUUUGGUCUAACGAUAGACCAUCCACAGUUAAUAACUAUAAAUAAGGAAGUUCAUGAAGGCUGACUUCAUCCAAUACACUCUGACCAGAAGGGAACACGAUUAUGUCCGCAUACAGGCUGACUUUCCUUGUAUGAAUCCAGAAGAAGUCUUUCUCAUUGCAAAGAUGUUACAACCCAAGUCUGAGAAGCACCCGAAGAUGAAGAUUGCACUUGAAAGGGCUAAUACUUUCUUAAAGGAAACAGUCUAUGACUUUGCCAAAAUCGACACAGACAUCUACCCCAUCAUUGCCAAGAAAUUCGAUUUGCCACCACUUGACCCUGCACCAAUUCCUACCGAAGGCUAUGAAGAAAGAUCCUUAGGUGCAACCAACUAUCCUGAACUUAGAGUCAUUUUCAAAAAGAAGACCGAUAAUGUCAAAUACUUCAUUCCUAUGACUGCCAUGCAUCGCCUCACCAGGAAGCAACUUGACAUCUGCCGAAACGCAGUUGAAAAAUCAAAGCACACUACUGCAGAAGUCAAGUUCGAGAUCUUAAGAAGAAUCAUCUUGUUAGAGAACAUCAGGAAGUUUUGGUGGAUCCUGAUCAAGUUUCUUAAAUACGAUAGUUGAUUAAAAGGUAAAGAGGUCACUUCGGGGAAAUUGUUGAAACAUAAAAAGUGACCCUUUUAAACUCCUGCUACCGCAACCAUCAAGCCCCCGCCGUCAAGUCUCUUCAUCAGCAAUUGCCACCACAGUCUCUACCUACCGCAAUCUCUUUACUAGAUUAUUUGUCUUUUUGUAAUACACUCUAUUGUCCAUUAUGCCUUGCAUGGCUACUCUUAGAGAUGUAAUCUAGUGUACUUCAUGAGUCUCUAUAAAUAGAGCUCAUUCUCUUGUAUUAAAUUUUACGCAUAUAAUUAUGAAUGGCAAUCUCUAAAGUUAUCUUUUCUAUCUUUCAUACCCACUCUUCUUACUCUAAUAAUCGAUUACAACCUCUAUUCGGAGCAAGUCUUUUGAGACUUAAUCACAAAGUUUGAUCUCACUUAUUAACUUGGUUUGAAUGCAUUCCUCGUUAUGAAUCAACUUAAGUGUAUACUUGAUAUAAUAAAUGUUGUCACUUACAUUUCUUUACUUUUCCGCAACUAACUAUCUAACCAUCUAACUCUAAAUAUUAUUGUUGAGCUUUUAGAUACUUCCAGAUUAACUAUUCCGCAAUAUAUUUGUUCUAACGUUUGUUUAAGUGUGUCUCAAAGUUUUUCUCUCAACAUCAAUUAUUUAACAUACUUACAAUUAAAUUAAUCUAAAAUUCAAAAAAAAUGGGUUUUUAUCUAAUUUUGCAAGUUUAGAUGAACUUAAUUUAUCAACAACUAUUCAAUGAAGUUAUAAAAACACUUUUGUUAGUUUGAAUCCACUUUCCCUCAAUGGUUUAAAUAUUAAUUAUGACAACUCCCAUUGGUUACCAAUUAAACUGUUAUUAGCAAUUCAAUUCCAAAUUUUCUAAUAUUCAAUUAAUCCAUGUAGAGCUACACAUGGUCACACAAAAUUUAACACAAAAUUUAACACAAAAUGAAUUAUUAAAUAGGAUUGGAGCUAUGUGAGAUUGAGUUGACAAACACAAUUGUGGUCACAAUAUGAGUUCUGCAACAUAGCCAAAUUCAAUACUUCAAUUACUUAUCUAAGAUUGGUUCGAUCUUAGCUAUAAUAAUCUAAUGUUCACUAAAUUACUAGGUAGUUAAAUUCAUGUAGAUUAACGGUCACUAAAAUACACAAAAUAUGAAUUAAAGGAAUCUAGUAUCAAAUUGAGCAUACUAGGUAUAAACAAUCAAAAACAAGACAUUAACCAACUAGAAAAGUCUAAAUUAUUAUAAACCAACCAUGAGUUACAGCUUGAUCUAGCUAAUAGAGGUAGUUGGAUUUAGCUACUCAUCAAAGCAAUCACACUAACAAACUUCAUAGUUAAAGACAUAGUAAUAUACCAAACGAAGAAUAAACUAUGACCCAUUCUUCUUCCUUGGUUGAAUUCUAGGUUUUCUGGUUUGUAAUCCUCUAAAAACGACUUCUAGAACUUUAUUCUUCCCAAUAACCGACCCUUAAACUAGAAAGUGUUAAAGAUAUAUAUACUUGUCAUAAAAUUACAUUCCACGUCAUGGAAUAAAGGUCCACAUCGUGGACUUAGACGAAUCCUUAUCGAGCAAGGAUUUCGACUUUGCGCGUACUCGUCUUCCAUAAUUUUCCAUUCCACUUCGUGUAAGUGAUAUCCACGACGUGGAUACAACCGUUUUCAUGGGUUUUCUUCUCUUUAGUCUUACAAGCCUCCAAAUUUCUUCUUUUGCCACUUUUAGUCCUUAUUCUUCAAAAUGACUUAUUUUGGCUGCAAAAUACAAUUUAAUCUUAUAAGUACCAUUAUUCCAAGCAAAUAACCAAAAUAUGUAUAUAAAUGUAUUCAAAUAAUGCCAAAAAGUAUGUAUAAAUAUGGCAAUAUAGAAAUACCCCACACUUAUGCUUUGUUUGCCCUUAAGCAAAAGUAAUUAUUUUUAAUUCAAACCAUCAUCACUAGCAUCACAUAGAACAAUCCAUUUCGAUCCCAACCAUUAUACCAAGACCUCAAUGUGCAUAUUUGUGUCUAAAUCUCCUAAUAACUUCCCAAUCCUAAAUACUCACAUUGCUUAUGAAACUUCACCCCUUAGCUUAUAUGAUACUCAUUUCUGCAACCCUCCAAAUCAAUCCUUAGAACUCUUUCUUAAACUCAAGGUGUUUUUGGUUAAGCUACCCAAGCAUACAUGAUCUAGAAAUUAUAACUUUAGAUACCACAAUGGAUAUCUUGGAAUUCUUCACUUUCUUCGAGUAUUUGAUCUUUGAUAUCUUUGAAUUCACCACCUUUUUGUUUUAUUUUUGGUAUCUUCAAUUUUUGAUUCUUUGUAAUUUGAUCUUUUGAUCUUCACACUUGAUAGCUCCAAAAUUCUUCAACUUUUCGGUAAUUUCUCUCUCUCUCUCUCUCUCUCUCUCUCUCUCUCUAUCUCUCUCCUAUCUCUCUUUCUUUUUUUUUAAUUUCUCAUUUUCUUUUCACUCAAAUCCUACAUGCUUAAGCAAGGGAGCUUAACUUCAACCUUUAUCGGCUAAUGGUAUUAGUCUAUGUGCAAUGACUACAUAAACUCUCCUGGAUAGAUUUCAGUUUUAGGCUGCAGAACAUAUUAUGCCAUAUAAACUACCAGAUUACAUUUUCAUAUCUCAUGGCUUUUCACUAAGACUUGGGAAGCCACAAAUAUACUAUAACAUAUAUUGGCUUAAUUAAACAUUUGAGCUCUCACUGGUUCAUCCCACAUAACACUAGCAACUUAAGUGUAAAUUAAUUAUUACUAGAUUCAUUUUUUAUUUAGAUAAUUAUUUCAAAUCCAUUUUUAAAUUUUUCAAAAUUUUGGAAUUUUUUUAAAAUUAUCAAGUAAUUUACUUUUUCGACCCCUACCCCACACUUAAUACAUACUUUGCCCUCAUUGUAUGCAUAAAAUAAAUUGAAAGCAAGAAAAGGGAGAAAAAGGAACAGACUCCCCUGGAGUAGAAGUGACAAGAUUCAUCUCUUCAUGUGUGAGUAACUUGAGCAUCUUGAACUUGUACUUCUUCAAAUAUAGAACUUGGAAUUUCAAGAAAUGAGACACGUAGAUGUGUCGACAAAAUUUGAAAUCGAGACUUCAAUCUUCAACAAAUGUGGUGUAGAAAAGCUUCAAAAUAUAAUAGACCAACGUGGGAAAGCAUAUGACACAUGGAAUUGUGUAGAAAAGAAGAAAAAAUGGAACUUCUGAAUUCCACGUCGUGGUGUAGAAUUGCACGACGUGGCAUCAAAUAAUUACAUUUUCUGAAAUUGUAUUUUGAACUCAAUCCAUGACGUGUAAUUGGUCUCCAUGUCAUGGAAACUGGGCAUCGUAUAAAACUUUUCUUCUUUAAAUAAAUAUAAUGUGGACUUGUGUCUUAAUAUAUUAAGACCCUUCUGAACUGCAUAUAUCGUGACUCCUUCCCAAACCGGUUCUCUCUCGAUUAACCCGACACUUAUUUAAGAUUGUGGUUCUCAACUCUCUACUCUAAAUGACAUGGCUAAUCGUGUUUAUGCUGUCAUAUCUCUAAGGCCCCUCAGUCGCGUUUUUAUCUAACUAACUCUGAAAAUAACAGCUAAAAGAAGUAAACAAGAAACAUAACAAAUUAAAUAGUCAUUACAAAACAAAAUUAAACUAAAAUAAAAACAAAAAAACCAACAAUAAACUAAACAAAAAUAAAAGAAAUAAAAGGAUAAAUUAAUCAUCUUCUUCAUCAUGAUGUGCUCCACUAGUUCCAACACCAUCUCCUUUUCGCGUCCAUAAUUCUUCCCACGUUGGAAUGUACGGGAAAUGGGGAGGCAUUGUACGGGUUUGAACCAUAUUCAUAUGUGUAAACAUGGUUUUGAAAAUUUGAAUGUUGUAAGUCACUACACUAUAAAGAUUGUCCAAAUACAAACCAACCCGACUUUGAAACGGGUGAGUCGGUAUAUCACCCUCAAAUGGUUGGGGUGGUGGUUGUGAUUGUCCCCCUCUCUCCUCGACCUCUCACAUUCCUUCACCUUGGCUGAGGUUAUUCUACUUAUUGCCCAAUUUUUUGUUCUUCUUGUAGGGUUUUGAGCAUUCUAACACUCCUAAGGUGUUUAUGCCACCCUAAAUACUUUGGAUCUAUGUUUUCACUAAUCAUACAUGCAAUGCUGUUUCCAAGGUAUUAAGCCUAUGGCUAGCAUACAAUUUUCAUAUACCACAAAAGAAUCUAGUUAGGAUAACAGACGUUAUGGUGGAGAUUGAAGUCUUGAUGUAUCUAUCCUUAAAAGCUUAGCCCUAAUAGUGUGGAAGCCUCAAGUGGAAUCACAACACAUGAUAUACAAAGGAGGAACUUGAGAGAGAAACCCCAUGUACCCAAAACCACCAUGAACUCCAAGAAUACAGUAGUCACGAUUUUGGGCAAUGAAGUGUGUAUUUAUAUGUGGGAUUUCUAGGGUCAUGGAUAUAACCCAAAUCCGUACCCAUGGGUCUUGUGGCUCAACUCUUUAUGUACCUAUACAUAAACUUGGUCCAACAUGGAUCAUAAGCCCAACACACAUGAAUAUAAAUAAUUAACAUAAUUAGUCCCCAUAGAUUUAAUUACUCUCCUUUUGAUCACUAAAUCAAUUCUAAAUUAAUUCUUGAUCAAUACUUAUUAAAACCAUAUGAUUUCAUAUUAAUAUAUUAGUACUUAUAAUAUAUUAAUAAAUCAUAUAUAACCUUCUCUCAAGUGUCCAUCCUAACAAAUUCUCCUAAUGAUAUGUAACCCAAAUGGACCAUGCUACUCUCAGGUAAAGUACAUACAAAUAAUAGUUAUGGGCUUAGACAUCUAAUCCAACAGUCUCCCACUUGGAAAAGUCUAAUACUAUUAUUGCAAGUACCACUUCAUAACCCGACUAGCAAUCAUAGCUCUUAAAGCCAUUGUCGAACUCUGAACAAAUCAAUGAUGCAUCCAUUAGAUAAGUGAUCAUAUAUUCCUCAAUUCUAGACAUCGUAUGGACUGAGACAUGGAUUAUAAUCAUUCUCUCUCUCCGUUUGUUGUUUCCCGAUUUUCGAUUUAUGACAACUGACUAAUUGAACAAAUCAAAUCAGUCCAGGCUUGGCCAAGCAAUUAGGGGUGUCAUCACUAAUCAUCGAGGGGCCCACAUAUAUUGCUUUUAUCCUUAUGAGGUAAAAGGAAUGGAUAAAAUUCGACACAUAUGUUUGUACUAACUACUUGUUGAAUCAUACACAAACGCAUGUUUUAUAAGAUAUUAUGGUCGCAUGAUUCACUCGUGAUAAAAUCUAUGAAGUGAUUCAAAUAAGCAUGGGUCUAAUCCAAUACUCAAAUCUUAUUCCAGGAGAACUUAUGAACAUUGCAGCUAAGUCUAGCCACCUGAACAAACUACAUACCCAUUCAUGACAGUCUUGCCUCAAUACCUACUUCCAAAAUAUGAUUAACUGUGGACAGUUUGAAUAACCUAGUUAUUCGGGAAGUCAAAACAUGCAAACUGAAACACAAGAAUAAUACUAAUCCUAUAUGGCCCCAACACUUUGAGUGUAAAUAAAAUACCAUUUUAUCUAAGCACCAUAUUGGUUACUCAUUAUUCAUUUUAUAAUGUUUCAAUUUAUCAACUUAAUACCUGAAGUAAAACAAUAGUCAUGCCAUGCUCCAAGCAUGCACACUAUGUUUACCUAUGGUCCUUUCUUUUGUGAAAUAGAUCAAUUGAGCACGACUCCAAUGAUGCUCAUUUCACAAUCAUAAUCCCUUUUGUAAAUGUGAGAAUACCAAACUCUUGACAUUUACUAUAAUCUGUUAGAUUCUAAACAUAUAUGCAAUGAUUCUCUUGUAAUGACUAUAUACAAAAGUCACAAAGACUUGACAACAGACAUUACAAAGUAUUCCAAUGGAGAUCAAUUCCAUGGAAACGAAAUCUCAUAUUCAAAGUACAUUCUUUUGAACAUCCUUCAUUGCAUUAAGUUUUCGAAUCUUACAUAGAUUCAAAGAUUAACUUCCACCUAUGAAAACAAUUCCAUAUUACCAUUUUGACUAUCAAUUCUGAACAAGAAUUGCCUCUUUUCAGAAUAUGUAAAUAUGGUCCUUUCCAAAGUUUACACUAUACUUCUAAUUGUCCAUGAGCAACCAAUCUUUGGUAAACCUCAUAUUAUCCUUAGAAAUUGCUUAAUCAUUUUAUUCAUAUCCAGUUCUAUUCCUUAUUCCUCUUAAUGCCCUAAGCAUUUGGAAAAUUUAGAAUGGAUGAAUAUUAUAGCACAUGUGAUCGAUCGUAUACCUAAAGCAUAUGGGACACGAUUCAAGAUGUCUCACAUAAAGACGUUGUACUAGACCAGUCUUUUGCUAAAAUAUUUUUAUUUUCCAUGUUCUCACAAUUCGAACUAUGAAGGGGGAUGUCGUAAUCAUAAUAGAAUUUUGAGAACGCAACAUAUAUAGAAUAUCCUUAUGUUGAACCAAUCUAACAUAACAUUCACACACACAUAUAUAUAUAUANAUUUCCUCAUGUUGAACCAUUUCAACACAACAUAUAUAUAUAUUUGUCUAAAUUUGAUUAAAAUUUCUAUCUAAGCUUGUAGAAUUGGAAUGAACUAUAAAAUCACCUCCUUUAAUUAUAGCAAAACAACUUUUCAAAGUGAAUUGAAACUUUUGUUUUCUAUAAUUAACAUUGCUAACUCGCAACAUGUAACAUAAUAAUCAUGCUCCUACUAACAUGAUAAUUAUAAUUUAACUAGCAUAGCACUUUAUGCUCCUAAUAGCUUUGACAUGUACCCAAAAAUUAGUUGGACUUGUAGAAAUCAAUACUUUAUUGACUUUCUUAAAAAAGUUCAGUUUUCUGUUAUGAGAUGCUUUGAUCAGACUUUAUCAAAAUCAUACACCUUUCCUUAGAUAGCUCACAUGUGUGUAUAAACAAUUAUGAAGAGAGGGGUCAUAAUCAUAAUGUUUAGACCUUUUUCCAUUAUCACAAGUCCAUGUAAGUGUGCCGGUUAACUACACGCGCUCCACUAAAUGACUUUGAGAAUGCAAAUAUCACAAUUGCUAUAUACCUAAAAUCUACUUAGUGAAAGAGUUUCCUCUCCAUCAUUUUCAUGAAUCGGACAGAAAUCAUAUGACACUUAUAUUUUAUGGUGUAUGUGAUGCUAUCCAUGUGAAUUUGUCAUAACCAUAAUCACAAGACAAGGUUAGUGACAAAUCCAUACUCAUAUGGACUGAACUUGCCCAAUCUCAUUUUCCUGCCACCCGGCAGCACAAGUUCCUACCAUUGUUUCCAGGUUAUUAUGCAAACAAUUGACAACUUAUAAAACUCACAAUCAUAGUCAACUUAAACUGGAAUGGGCACAUAAACAAAAAUAUGUCACGAAAGUGGGUUACAAACCUCAAUUUGUGUGCUAGCGAUUAAACAAUAGGUUUUUAUUCUUGAUUAGUUCUUGAAACUUUUCCAGGAUCUUUAAGACUCCCACUAUCCUCUUGACGUAUGACAUUCUCUUGUUAAGAACCAUUCCUUGACAAAACAAAUAUUCAAGAGUUAGUGUGGAUUCUUAUCAAGAUAAACACUUCUCACGGUUGGUCUUAAUUGGUCUAUGUUUUGUCCAAAACAUCACAACUUACCAAUUUCAAAUGUACAAGAGUAAGAAACAUGUUACUCUACAUUUGAUAUGCGUUAUAAAUCUUUUUUUUUAAAUUAUGUCAGUCAAGUUACAAUCCUAACCUAUGACUCUAAGCCUUGAUUUUUGAACCAAGAAUGACUUAUCUUUUGAUUUAACCAUUUCAACAAUUCAUGAUUCCUCUCCCUAGCCAAAAAAUGCACUAAGGUGUCUUUAGUGGAUCAGUUGUUACAAGGUUUUUAUAAUCGCUAAGAAAAUCAUAAAAAAAAAGAUACUCAAGUACUAGCCUAUCUCUUCUUAUUCAUUCUGCCAAUCAUUGAAACAUUUCCAAUGUUUCAAAAUUACACUUAAACUUGUAAGCAUAACCAUAUUUACUAAACUUUUGUAAAUCAUAAUGAAUAACCUUAUUAGCCUUUUUGGUGGACCUGCCUAGCGCACAAGCUAAUGUACCCGAUCCUUUAGUCCUUCACUUGAGUCAGAUGUACAUAUGAACAAGGAAUUAGUCUUAAUUUACAAAAGAUGAAAAUUAUCAUUCAUCAUACAAUACAAGUUGCAUGAUUCCAAGUUUCUAUCCAACUGAAACCUAGGUGAUGUGAAUCUUUCCUUAUUUGGUAAAUUAUGACACUACCACAAAUGAAAGAAUCAAAUCCAUUUUCCAAUAUUGCUAUUACUGAAAUCAUAUAAACGACAUUUUUUCACAAAAGCCAUUAUAAGGAUACUUAAAAUAUAUAAAAUCAAAACUUUUCUUUUAUUUUAAAACUUCCAGAAAAACAUGUUGUUAUCUAUUCCUAAGCAAUCUAUCAUAACUCUUUAAGCAGCAGCUCAAAAUUUUGAUCACCGAACCAUGCGAUUGAAAUCCAUGUUUUCACGAUCAGAAACAACAUACUCUUCUUUUAAGCUUCCUUUGAUUCUCCAAAACAUCAAAAUGCAAUUAAAUCACAUCAUGUAUUAGGAAUCUCCAAAUAAGAACUUAAUAGAGUUAGAUAGUGGACUUUACCUGAAGUAGAGUAAACCCUUUUUGACUUUACCAUCCUUAUGAUCUUUUAGGUAAACUGGGCAGCUUCUGUGACAACCUGAAAUUUCCAUUCUGUACAACAUAACAAGUCAAUAGAAUGUCAAAGUCAUUCCUGCUAUCAUUCAGCACAAUUUAGAGUUCGUUUGAGAGUUUUGAGCCUUGUACACUUAAGGAAGAAGUGUCGGGGUUUAUCUGCUGAAUUUAUAGCACAAAGACCGCGCCUUAAGCACAUUAACCAUGAGUUCACGGCCACCACAUGGGAUUUUAUGGCCGUAAAAUCCAUGUGGGCCGUAAACUCACCUUACAUGGUGUACAUGAAGGCGAUUUGUCCAUUUCUUUCAUUUCCUUGGCCCAAAUCCUCUCAAGUACCAUCCCGAUCUUCAUCCCCGAUCUUCAAAACCCGUAAGUUUCUUGCCCUAACUAGUUGAUAUAUUAGAUGAUCUAGUAAUCUUACAUGAUUUCAUCCGUGAAAUCAUUCCAUUUUGUAGAUUUUCAAGAUCCACCAAGAACACACACUAGUGUUCUUGGACAGAAACCACCAUUCAAGCUCUUAGAUUGUAAGUACCCUUGAUCCAACUCAUUGUAUACUAGUUAUAUCAUGUUUAGAUCUUAGAAAACAUAAGAAAUCAAGGGAUUCAAGGAGUUUACAGCCAACACAUGUUCUUGGGCCGUAAACCCCUUUUAAGGGUGCAAAUGAUACACUAACAUUUUAGUGAGCCUUGGAUUUUAGCAUAGAACCUUACCCCUUUGAGUUAAGGACUUCAUUUCAAGAAAUGGUACUCCUUACCAUGAGUUUACGGCCGUAAACUCAUGGGGGAGUGGUCCCAGAGCUGUGAACACCAAUCAAGGCCAUUUUAGGACCUUAAACCCACCCAAACAAUUGUUUAAAGCUUUGGAGCACUUAACCAAUUAAGCCCUUAGGGUUUUAAGCCCCUUUUGGUGAUCAAUUGAGAGUUUACGGCCAGGAGUAUACUCCCCUGGGCCGUAAACUCCAACAAGCAUGGUCAUUGAACCAUAAGCUCCCGUUUGAGGCAUUGCACUCCUUUGUUGCAAACCAAUAGCCUCCUAACACUUGACCAAAGUGUUUUCCUCGCAAUAGGAUGUUUAUAAAUAUUUAAUUAGUGUUAAAACCACUAAUUGUUUAUAUACGUAUGUCUUCAUAUGUAAUUAGGAUCAUUGUGUGUGUCUAAGUCUUCACUUGACACCGAGCACUUGUCUGACACUUCCUUCCGAUCCGCUCACUACAGGUGGGUUCAUACCCCUAAAUCAAUCUUUUAAAUGUUUUUAAAUGCUUUAAUGGGGGGGAUACAGGUUGAAUCAUGCUAGUUAUUAUAUCAAAUAUGUGAAUAAUAACCAGCAUACUAAAAGAUUUACAACACUAUAAGUUGUUUUACCAAACAGAUUUCCGUAAAUGGCUUUCCAAUAUGUUUUACAAACUAACAUCAAGUCAUCUUUCUAAGUUGUUAAACUUUACAAAGGUUUUUACAAAACUGUGUUAUACUUUGUUACCAAAGGAUAUACUUUUGAAAUGUUUAUUAAAAUGACAUCAAGUCAUUGUUAGUUAUUGUUCAAAACUCUUAAAUGUCUUACAAAAUCAUUUUUCAUCCUCUUGAUCAAAACUAUUUCUAUACACUUAUGUUCUUAUAUAUAUGUAUUGAUAUGAUAGAUUUCAUCCUUCAUUCAGUUCCCACACUCUUGUGUAGCAAGGGUGUAUAAUCCUUCUUGGACAUCAAUUACCUUUCAGGUAAACUAUUAUAGGGAUAGUUAGGAGGUACAAAACAUUAUUCCUAUUACAAGGAAUUACACCAGAGUCAGUUGAUUCAUAAGUCUAUACAAUAUAUUACAUGUUACAUGAAUACGUCUACAUAGAGUUGCUUACAUGAAUACAUUUACAUAAAUACAUUUACUUGUAUACACUUACAUGGAUACUUGUACCUAGAUUCUAUAUGAUGAGUUACUAGUACAUAUUAUACGUGUAAAUUAGUUCUGCCUAUCCUAGUUCAAUAGGAUAACUAGACGGGACUAACCAUUCCGGAACCCACCUCAUACCAACAGAGGUAAUGAAUAUCUACGGAUGCCUACAGUUAAUACUUAUAUUAGGACUACCUUUAAGGGGCUAACCAUUCCUUAAACCUGCUGCCAGCUACAGAGGAAUAUGAACAAUCUAUGGAUGUUCAAGGUUAAUACCUUUUAUUUUGUGAUACAUUAACAUAAACAAAGUAGAAUUUAUUUUGUUAAUAGUAGUUAUAGAGGGGAAAACCAUCUUUGUUAUAGCAAAACAUUCGAGUCUUGGUAGAAGACUACUUUCAAAACAUUCGAUUCUUAGUAGAAGACUACUUUCAAAACAUACAAGUCAUGGUAGAAGACUACUUUCAAAACAUAUUAGUCUUGGUAGAAGACUACUUUCAAAACAUUCAAGUCUUGGUAGAAGACUACUUUCAAAAACAUACAAGUCUUGGUAGAAGACUACUUUCAAAACAUUCGUGUCUUAGUAGAAGGCUACUCUUUAAGCUAACAGAAACCAUAGGGAUUUGCUAGGGUAUUCAAACGCUUUCAACUGUUUUCAAACAAUUCAUACUUAUACAAUCUUUUUCCAAAGGUUUACAAGUCAUUACUUUACAGUUUUACAAAUCAAACACAUUAAUACUUAUGAAUUCACCAGCUUUUUGGCUGAUACUCGCUUUCAAAAUAACUUGUAUUCUCAUGUCACAAAUAGACAGGUACGAUGACCAGGUUUUGUGAAGACGGAGUAGUCCAGACGCAUCUUAUAUUUUGAUAGAUCAUUAUGUUGUCUUAUACUAUGAAAGAACACACUUGUAAAUAAAAUUAUACUAUUAAUGCAAUGGAUGUUGUUGUUGCUUGUUUACUACUUUGCAUUGUUAUGAUACAUUACAUGACGUCCUCCGCCCCAGAACGUUUCCGCCAUUCUCGGUUUUGGGGUGUGACAGAUUGGUAUAAGAGCAUUCUUUAUAGUGAAUAUAGUAUAUCAACCCAUAAAAGAUAUACUAACUAUAAAUACAUUGAGAUUAAAAUACUCUGACAAGAGUUUAUACUUUAAAUAAUAAAAUAUUUAAUUAAGUAUACGUGGCUGCAUUCAUACUAAAAUCAGUGUCUCUAGGACAGUACAAAAGAAUUACGAUUGUUGGGCAACACAAGUGGACUUAAAGUCAUAUAGUCAAAACUGGGAAGAUAUAGGCUGAUCAAUUAUAUUAUCCGAGGGUUGGCUAGCAUGUGCCUAUGUGUAGUUGUGUGGUUGCAACAAGUCUAAAAUCUUACCAAUAAUACCACAAUGAGAACAAUAGAACAUAAACCUAAAAUACUAUAGGGGUAUUUGCUAAGUGGAUACACUAAGGCUAUAUGUAACUAGGAUGUUAUAGACUUAGAAUCAGUGAAAAUUUUGCUUUACCCCUAUUCUUUGUGAAUUUGGAGUUAAGGUCACUUAUUCGAAGGCCUAUCCUGUUGUGAUUACAUAUAACUAAUAACAUGGCUGGACUCCAUCCCCACGACAACCCGUACCUUCCGAACAAAUUCAUUGUUGGAUGGUUUGGAGAAGAACCAGAGAAUGAUCAUCCGAUUCCUUUGAAUGAUCACCAUGAUGAAGACCUCGCAUAUGAUGGUAACUCCGAACCCGAGGUUGAGAACCUACCACAGGAAGCUCCCUUUACAAAUCCUAACCCUCGUCCGGCUUUUCAAGGCUCGGCGUCUCCUUGGGUAAAACGCUUGGAAACAUGGAGCCAAGGACAGGAUCAGCCCAUGCCAUUUAAUGGAGACCGAAGCUUUUAUUACCUGAGCAUUGGGGGCUCAACAGACAGAAUCUUGCCAAUCCUGGUCCACAGAGUGGCCCGAAAUGAGAUUCAAGGCAGGACAACCCUACAUCAAAUCACAGAAGUUGUCGCAUAUGCGAGAAUGUGUACCCUUCGCACCAUUCGUCCGGAAAAUGCUUGUGAGAGAUCUGAAAGAGACCAUGAAACCCUGCUUCAAGAACUGGAUGAAUCACGAGCCAAAGUCAUAGAACUCCGAGUACGCCAGAGGGUGUACGAACGACGCCUGCUUUAUAUGGAACGUCAACUGGCUGAGCUGAGAGUUCACCAAAGGGAUGAUCGUCACCAGUAGGAGAUACUUUACUUUCCUUCUUGUUUUAAAAGAACCGUGUUCCUGUCUAUGUCCUAUGUGGCAUUUUCUAUGAAACUGCCUCGUACUGUAGGUACUUUUAGUUAGGCCUUUAUGCAGCCAGAACUUUUGCUACUCCGGAUAUGAUGUAAGACCUUCUUCAAGGUCAAAUGUUUCCUAAACUUAUUACAUCUUAAACAUCGAUGAUGUUGACAGUCGGUUAACUUCGGUGUCAUGCUUUUGUUCAAAUACUCUCAUCAUACUUUCAUUGGAGUCUAUUUGAAACAUGCUUUAGUGAAGUCAUUGGAUUAUAGUAAUUUAACUUCGGAGACAUUUCCAAGUCUCUUUCAGUGGUUGGAUCAUGUUAUUCACCAACCAACGAUACCUCGUCUUGAACAACAAACGUCAUGAGACCAUUAUACGAGCUUACUUCCACUCUUUGCUAGAACUGCAUCAUAGGGAUGUAGGUCAAACCUUCGUGAACAUACUUCCAUUCCAUACUAGGACUGCAUCAUAGGGAUGUAGGUCAAACCUUAGAGAACAUACUUCUAUUCUUUACAUGAGCGAUUGAACUACGUCUAGGUUCAACCAUACUUGCUCACAAAUUCAUUUUCUUUUCGUGAAACAGAAUCAUGUCGCCAAAGAAAAACGAUCAACCCAUCAACCAAAUGCCAACUCUUCAGAUUGAUGCAGCUACCUUCCAAGCUGCAGUCUCAGCUGCCGUGUCAGCUAUUCUUACCCACCUUAACGCUAACAACGCGAAUGUUAGCGGGAUUGUUAACAACAAUUCCAAUCCAGGUAACAAUCAAGUACCUCAACGAGCAACAAACUACCACGACACCCCGAGUCCCAAGACCAAGAGUAACAAACAUAAGUGUUGGGCUAAUUUAAGGACGAAUCGCUUCGAAGGGCGAACAAGAAACAACCACCGGUAACGACCUUCACAGCCACGACAUUUGUACCUCCUACUACCAUCCCUUUGGGUAUCCCAAUUGUCCCUAACCCAGCCAGACAAUAUGCUGGAAAUCUCCCAAAGUGCAUCAAAUGCAACUAUCACCACCUCGGACCUUGUCGGGGGUUGCAAUGCUCAAACUGCAACAGAAAGGGACACACCCUACGUUACUUCAAGAGCGCAGCAAGGCCGAACAACCAAGUGCCCAACACCGGUGCGAACCAGGCUUGAUACGGUUGUGGCAAGGUAGGUUGCUACAAAAGAAACCGCCCAGAGGCAACGAAUGCUGGCACAGACGGAAGGAUGCUACCGAUCACCGUCGCAGGGAAGACUACUUUGGACCUACGAUUAAAGUAAUUAAUGUGUUUCGUUGUAACAGACUUAUAAACUAUUUAAAACUAGUGCAAUUGGAGUGUUAUCUUUUGUGAAGCCCCAUCAGUUAAGGGAUCCUCGAGCUGUGUGUACUUGUCUUUUGUAGUAUACCUUGUUCGCAGCAAUAGUCUCAUGGUAAAUCUAAAGUGCAGUAAGUCUGUUAAAGGUUGCACUUCUGUGUUUUGUCUAUAACGCCUUAUGUUCAAAUCUAAUGUCUUUAGUUUCCGUAUGAUUCCGACUUUAUCAUACGACUUGAGUCAAUUCGAUCCUCGUAAUAUCAGUCUCAUGCGCACAUCUCUUUCUCCGAAAUCGUCUUUCUAGCGAAGCUGUCAGUCCGGAACACCAAAGUACUCAUUCAUGGAGUACCUCAUGUUUCUAAUCCAUUCCGAAGUUAAUCUCAGCACACCUUCCCGAGGUACCACUCAUACAGUACAUCAAGUUCAAUCCAAAGAUUCAUAUGGUUGAUCUAUCACUGAAGAAUGUAUACUUAGGGGUGGUAUAUAAUCAAGGUUCUACAGGUUUAGAAUUGAUGAUUCCACUUUAACUUCUUUUCCUCGUUGGGAUGUGAUCUUAAACAAGAAUCAGUUAUUCGACUACCUUUUCAAUCUUAGUUAUAUACGACUCGUAUAGACAAGACUGCGAUUGAUGAACCAUGUAUGACUUCUAAUAUGAACUUCAGGACGGAGAACUGCCCAAGACUACGAGUGAACGCAUCGUUAUGCGAACAAACUUAGGACCCAAUAUGACUCCUGUAAACCGAUCGCCCUACGGUCUCACACCAACGGAGAUAAAAGAACUGUUCGAACAGCUUAACGACUACUCAAGAAUCGAAUGAUAAGACCAAGCUCCUCACCCUUGAGAGCUCCAGUCUUAUUCUUUAAGAAGACAGACUUCAACGGUUGCGAUCAUUCCAGCACUAAUGCACCGGAUCCCAUCAGAACUUCGCAGUUAAGCGUGCUUGGGUGAAGGUAAUACUAGGAUGGGUGAUACCCUGGGAAGUCUUCGUGGUGCAUACCUCGACUGGACUUCCAUUAGAAAUCAUUACUUCUACCACACAUAAAUGAAUUGGUUGACCCACCACAAGGAACUACUUACUUUUCAGAAAUAGGUUUGAGGUCCAAACAUCAUCAGUUACGAGUUUUAAAGGAGGAUGUCCCGAAGACAACCUUCCACACUCAAUGCGGACACUACGAGUCCGUAGUGAUACCUCUCGGAUAGGACCAAUACACCCGUAAUAUUCAUGAACUUAAUGAAUAGGGUAUGCCAUUCCCACUUGGAUCAGUUCGUCAUUGUCUUUUUGAAAUGACUUACUUAUCUACUCUCGUAGUAAGAAGGAAAUCAUAAAGAGCAUCUACAACAAACCCUAGAAACAUUACGAUCAGAAAAGCUUUACGUGGAAUUCUCUAAAAUGCGAUUUUUUAGAUUUGAAAAGUCGAAUUCCUAAGACACAUUACCAGUAAUGUGGGAAUUCUUGAGGACUAUGCCAAAAAAUUAAAACCGCUGAGAAUUUGUCAAUACCGAGGAUGCCGACAGGAAUUCACCAAAUUCUAGGUCUCAUUGACCUACUGUCGAGAGGUCAUUCAAAACUCCUCGCGGAUUACGAAACCUCUUAUGACUUUAACUAGAAGGGAGUGGCUCCUGACUGGGAAGACAAGCAAGAGGAAGAAAACCUUGGAAUUUCAAGUUAGAGGCCAAAUCCUUUUGGAAAUAUCACUCUAGGAAGGCUUGAUACGCUUCGGAAAGCGUGGUAAGCCAAACCCAUAAUAGUUAGGACCUCCGAGAUUCUUUCCGGAAUCGGUCCAAUAACUCACAAACCCAACCUACACCACGAACUCAGUGACGUACAUUUUACCCUUCACGUCUCGAACUUGAAACUGUACCAUUCCGUUAGGACUCUCGUAAGUCCACUCGACGAGAUCAAGAUCAACGAGAUCCUCGCCUUAGUGGAAUAACCGUAGUGACCCUCGCCCGAGUGGUCAAACGGACGAGGCAAACGUCGUCGCCCAUUAUUGAAGGUGCGUUGGGAUACCAACUUAGGACCCGAAUUCACUUAUGAGCGCAAGGACCAAUCGAUUUGGAAAAUUCCCCAUCACCUUGCUCGAUUAUCAAUGCCUACUCCCUUACCUAAAUUCUAAUUUCGAGAUGAAAUUCCCUCUAACAGGGGGGUGAUGUGACAACCCGAAAUUUCCAUUCUGUACAACAUACCAAGUCAAUAGNUCAGUCAAGGACUUCAUUUAAAGUCAAACUCAUUCCUGCUAUCAUUCAACACAAUUUAGAGUCUGUUUGAGAGUUCUGAGCCUCGUACACUUAAGGAAGAAGUGUCGGGGUUUAUUUGCUGAAUUUAUAGCACAAAGAACGAGCCUUAAGCACAUUAAACAUGAGUUCACGGACACCACAUGAGAUUUUAUGGCCGUAAACUCCAUGUGGGCCGUAAACUCACCUUAUAUGGUGAAGAUGAAGGCCAUUUGUCCAUUUCUUUCAUUUCCUUGGCCGAAAUCCUCUCAGGUACCAUCCCGAUCUUAGUCCCCGAUCUUCAAAACUCGUAAGUUUCUUGCCCUAACUAGUUGAUAUCUUAGAUGAUCUAGUAAUCUUACAUGAUUUCAUCCGUGAAAUCAUUCCAUUUUGUAGAUUUUCAAGAUCCACCAAGAACACCAAGAACUCACACUAGUGUUCUUGGCCAGAAACGACCAUUCAAGCUCUUAGAUUGUGAGUACCCUUGAUCCAACUCAUUGUACACUAGGUAUAUCAUGUUUAGAGCUUAGAAAACAUAAUAAAUCAAGGGAUUCAAGGAGUUUACGGCCAAGACAUGUUCUUGGGCUGUAAACCCCUUUUAAGGGUGCAAAUGACACCCAAACAUUUUAGUGAGCCUCAGAUUUUAGCAUAGAACCUUACCCCUUUGAGUUAAGGACUUCAUUUCACGAAAUGGUACUCCUUAGCAUGAUUUUACGGCCGUAAACUCAUGGGGUAGUGGUCCCAGGGCCGUGAACACCAAGCAAGGCCAUUUUAGGACCUUAAACCCACCCAAACAAUUAUUUAAAGCUUUGGAGCACUUAACCAAUUAAUCCCUUAGAGUUUUAAGCCCCUUUUGGUGAUCAAUUGAGAGUUUCUGGCCAGGAGUAAACUCCCCUGGGCUGUAAAAUCCAACAAAGAUGGUCAUUAAACCAUAAACUCAUGUUUGAGGCAUUGCACUCCUUUGUUGCAACCUAAUAGCCUCCUAGCACUUGACCAAAGUGUUUUCCUUACAAUAGGAUGUUUGUAAAUGUUUAAUUAGUGUUAAAACCACUAAUUGUUUAUAUACAUAUGUCUUCAUAUGUAAUUAGGAUCAUUGUGUGUGUCUAAGUCUUCACUUGACACCGAGCACUUGUCCGACACUUCCUUCCGAUCCGCUCCCUGCAGGUGAGUUCAUACCUUUAAAUCAAUCUUUUAAAUGUUUUUAAAUGCUUUAAUGGGGGGGGGGAAUACAGGUUGAAUCAUGCUAGUUAUUAUAUCAAAUAUGUGAUUAAUAACCAGCAUACUAAAGGAUUUACUACACUUUAAGCUGCUUUACCAAACAGAUUUUCGUAAACGGCUUUCCAAUACUUUUACAAACAAACAUCAAGUCAUCUUUCUUAGUUGUUAAACUUUACAAAGGUUUUUACAAAACUCUGUUAUACUUUGUUACCAAACGAUAUAUUUUUGAAAUGUUUAUUAAAAUGACAUCAAGUCAUUGUUAGUUAUUGUUCAAAACUCUUAAAUGUCUUACAAAACCAUUUUUCAUCCUCUUGAUCAAACUAUUUCUAUACACUUUUGUUCUUAUAUAUAUGUAUUGAUAUGAUAGAUUUCAUCCUUCAUUCAGUUCCCACACUCUUGUGUAGCAAGGGUGUAUAAACCUUCUUGGACAUCAAUUACCUUUCAGGUAAACUAUUAUAGGGACAGUUAGGAGGUACAAAACAUUAUUCCUAUUACAAGGAAUUACACCAGAGUCAGUUCAUUCAUAAGUCUAUACUAUACAUUACAUGUUACAUGAAUAUGUCUACAUAGAUACGCUUACAUGAAUACAUUUACUUGUAUUCACAUACACGGAUACUUGUACCUAGAUUCUAUAUGAUGAGUUACUAGUACAUAUUAUACAUUCAAAUUAGUUCUGCCUAUCAUAGUUCAAUAGGAUAACUAGACGGGACUAACCAUUCCGGAACCCACCUGAUAGCAACAGAGGUAAUGAACAUCUAUGGAUGCCUAUGGUUAAUACUUAUAUUAGGAGUACCUUUACGGGACUAACCAUUCCUUAAACCUGCUGCCAGCUACAAGGAAAAUGAACAAUCUACGGAUGUUCAAGGUUAAUACCUUUUCGCCAGUCGCAAUGUCGAGUUGAUCCUAAUACAAAAGGAUAACACUUACAUGGCUAUAUUGUUUCCUAUUACUUUUAUUUUGUGAUACAUUAACAUAAACGAAGAGGUAGACUUUAUUUUGUUAAUAGUAGUUAUAGAGGGUAAAACCCUCUUUGUUAUAGCAAAACAUUCGAGUCUUGGUAGAAGACUACUUUUAAAACAUUCGAGUCUUGGUAGAAGACUACUUUCAAAACAUACAAGUCUUGGCAGAACACUACUUUCAAAACAUACAAGCCUUGGUAGAAGACUACUUUCAGAUCAUUCAAGUCUUGGUAGAAGACUACUUUCAAAAUAUACAAUUCUUGGUAGAAGACUACUUUCAAAACAAUCUGGUCUUAGUAGAAGGCUACUCUUUAUACUAAUAUAAACCAUAGGGAUUUGCUAGGGUAUUCAAAUGCUUUCAAGUGCUUUCAAACAGUUCAUACUUAUACAAUCUUUUUCCAAAGGUUUACAAGUCAUUACUUUACAGUUUUACAAAUCAAAGACACAUUAAUACUUACGAAUUCCCCAGCUUUUUGGCUGAUACUCGCUUUCAAAAUAACUUGUAUUCUCAGGUCACAAAUAGACAGGUACGACGACCAGGUUUUGUGAAGACGGAGCAGUCCAGACUCGUCUUAUAUUUUGAUAGGUCAUUAUGUUGUCUUAUACUAUGAAAUAACACACUUGUAAAUAAAAUUAUACUAUUAAUGCAAUGGAUGUUUUUGUUGCUUGUUUACUACUUUGCAUUGUUAUGUUACAUUAAAUGACGUCCUCCGCCCCAGAACGUUUCCGGCAUUCUCGGUUUUGGGGUGUGACAGCUUCACAACCAAUUUCCGUUCUCUUGGAAAUAGAAACGUAUGGACUCUUUGGAAAUGGUACACGAGACUAUCUCAUAAUUAGCCUUUCUCUUUACCAUUCACUUAAAUGACUUGACCAUGACCGAUCCCUUUCCAUUUGGAAGUGAAAGCUUGUAUGGACUUUUAAUGUUACCAUUACCAAUGUCAAUGGAGUCAUAGGAAGUAGAUCUUCCAAUCAAAUUUGUUUACCAUUGCUCAAAAUCAUUGUUGAUUUAGUAGCAUCGAGCAAAUAUGUAAGAUCAUUAAGGGUCAUGUCAUGGUCUGUCACAUAGCAGUCCUUAAAGAACUCACUAUAUGACUUGGGAAGUGCUUCAAGAACCCAUUCAAUAGUCAACUUCCUUCAGACCUUGACACCCAACUCUCCCGUCUUGCCAAUAUGUGACUUAAUCUCCAAUAUGUAAGCACAUAUAGACUUUGCUUGCCAAAUAGGGAUUGAGUGACCUUGAACUUGUGGAUUAGGGAAAAUUAUUGGAAGAGGUGGAGGAAUUGAGGCUUUAUCCAAAAGGAUGAGGAAGACCAUAGUUGUCUGAACUUAGACAUCUAUGAAGGAGAAAUUCAAGUUUUAGUUGAUUUAAGUCCUUAACAUAAAACCCAAUAUGAAAUAUUAAGGCUAGGACCCAACAAAGUAUUUUAUAACUUGGAAUAGGGAUGCCGUAAUCCAAGCUACAAAAUAUUUGAAGCUAGGUAAAUGACAAUUUACCAAUUUCCACCAUGAAAAACAAAAUAAAUUACUAAGUUUUAAUUGGAUUUGAAACUCCUAUAUCUUUUGAGAUUUAUUGAACUUUCAAUAGCAUGUUUAAAUCUCGAUUUUGCCAUCUCAAGUUUGUGACUGGGAUGUCGAGGAUCACAAAGAAGGUGUGAAUAACCAUGCAAAUUGACUUGGUACCCUUAACUUUAUCACCCAAUCGAUGUGUCGGUUAACCACAUGCGCUCCACCGAUCUAUGAUAAUACUUAAGUCACCCUUUACCACACAUGUUAGUGUGUCGGUUAACCACACAUGCUACACUAAUGACUUAACAAGGGUGCAAAGUGUAAUUUCAUGGGUUAGCACCAAAUUCACAUUUUUCUAAGUACCAAAGAUUGGGAAUUUAUAAGUGUUUAGUUACAUAGGGUUUAUCAUUAUAAUUUUAAUGAAAGGAGAAUUAGAGUCCUAUCCUACCUACUCGGCUAACGACCCUCUACCAUUCAAGGAAGCGGUGGGUGAGAGUGCACAUCCAUUAAACUUCCAUUUUAUAAGCACUAACCUUAUACCCCCCCUUAGAGAUUGGCUUCGUGAAUGAGGCCUACUAACGGUUAGAUUGACUUUACUCUUAUACACACACACACACACACAUAUAUAUAUAUACUUAUAUAAUAAUUAACUUUUAAUAUUAUAAUAGUAUAAAGGUUGAAUUUUUAACUUUUAAAAUUCUAAGGUUUAACUUGGAAUUAAAGUAUACAUGGGGAUGUAACUUGGUGAAUUCCAAAACUUGAGGUCAAGUUUUUGAAACUUCUCAAAGCUCUUCAAUUUGAUAACAUAUGAGUUUAAUAUAGGUUUUUAAAACAUAUAAUGAAGAGACUCUUGAACAUCCAUAACUUGAGGACAAGUUACGGAGUUCAUAAAACUAUUUAUGAAGAAAAGACUCUACAAGUUUCUUAACCUAAGGUUUUUAAUAACUUUUUUUAAUAAGACUUUUCAAAUAACUUGAGGCCAAGUUACAAAAACACAUAUUAUGAAUAACUUUUAGAUUAAUUUGGAUUCAAAACAACUAUCACAAACAUGUAUAGCAAUAUUCAUAAUCUUGAUUAAACUCAUAUGAACAAGAUAAUUCAAAUCAAAAAAAAUUCAUGUAAUUAGCCUAAUCAUUAAACUAAUACAAAAAAUGAAACUUUUGAAAAUUAUCUUUUGAAUUGGAUUAGAAUGAUCAUUACCACAUCAAAAACUAUUUUAUAGGUUUAAAAACAACUUGUGGUAAUGUUCCUAGUCCAAUUCCAACCUUAAAACUCGAAGAUAUGGUGUCUGGGGGUUCAACUUAUCGAGUGCAAGAACCAAAUCAAUGAGCUGGAUGAAUUUAGGCAUGGACUCAGGAAUCCAUCAGUGGACUCGGCGAGUUCACUGUCCAGAACAGCCUAAAAUCGAUUUUUUCAGCAAUUUGCAUCAAGUAAAAUUCAAAACAAGUCUUGGCUCUGAUACCACUGUAGGGUUUUGAGCAUUCUAACACUCCUAAGGUGUUCAUGCAACCCUAAAUAAGUUGGAUCUACGUUUUCACUAAUUAUACAUGCAAUGGUGUUUCAAAGGUAUUAAACCUAUGACUAGCAAACAAUUGUAAUAUACCACACAAGAAUCUAGUUAGGAUAACAUACCUUAUGGUGGAGAUUGAAGUCUUGAUGUAUCAAGCCUUAAGAGCUUAGUCCCAAUAGUGCGGAAGCCUCAAGUGGAAUCACAACACAUCACGGACAAAUGAGGAAAUUGAGAGAGAAUCUCCAUGCACCCAAAACUACAAUGAAUUGCAAGAAUACACUAGUCAGGAUUUUGGGCAAUGAAUUAUGUAUUUAUAUGUGUGAUUUCUAGGGUCAUGGAUAUAACCCAAAUCCAUACCCAUGGGUCUUGUGUCCCAACUCUGUAUGUACCAAUACAUAAACUUGGUACGACAUGGAUCAUAAGCCCAACACACAUGAAUAUAUAACUAAUUAACAUAAUUAGUCCCCAUAGAUUUACUUAGAGUCCUUUUGAUCACUAAAUCAAUUCUAAAUUAAUUCUUGAUCAAUACUAAAUAAAACUUUAUUAUUUCAUAUUAAUAUAUUAGUACUGAUAAUAUAUUAAUAAAUUAUAUAUAAUCUUCUCUCAGGUGUCCAUCUUAACAAACUGUCCUGAUGAUAUGCAACCCAAAUGGACCAUGCAAAUCUCGGGUCAAGUACAUACAAAUAAUAGUUAUGGGCUUAGACAUCUAAUCCAACACUUCAUCCUCCCAGGGUAUCACAUAAACUCCUCCCACAUUCACUACAACUCGCAUGACACCCAAGACUUGGAUAUUUAAGUCACUAUCCUGAAAGCGUGUGAGAUUCCUAAUAAAAUUAGGAGUUAAGAUGCCAUAGGACCGGGCAAGUCGGGUGACUAGAUGGCCACCCGUGAUGGGACUACCGGGUCUAGAGUUAGUCACCUUUCUACCUAUAAAUAGAAAAAUCAUAUACAAAAAAUCACAAAAAAUGUUGGGGGUGAUUAUGCUCCUCGAAUAAAACAGGUUUUGAAUAGGAACUUUAUUUCCAUGAUUUUUAUGAUUUAUCAUGAAGGUAAUGAGGCGAUGCGAAAAGCAAUACACGGGAUUCCGAAUUUGACCUUCACAUGCCUCACUAGAAUUGUACUCAUGAUUUGAUACCGUCCUCCAAAACUGGACAUCAAAAAUCCUGGAGGUGACAUCUCUAACACAUCCCUGCAAGAAUAGAACAAAAAAUGAUGAGAGGGUCUCCUCCUCGGUAUAGAGUCCCUUGCACCAUGCGAAUUCCCGAAGACCGCAUUCGCGGUAUAUGCCUCCCAAUCAAAAAACAAGUUCCCAGUUGCAAGUCGAAUCAAAGCUUUUAUCAUCAAAACUCACUGUGGCAAAGAACUCCACCAAUAAUUCCCGGUAGACGGGUUCUUGAAGAGAAAAUGUAUUCCUCCACCCGUUGCAAGUAAAUGAAAAACCAUUCCCCAUAAACACUUUCGUCCAAUAUCUCUCAAACUUUGUAAGCAUCCCAAGCCCACGUAACCACACCCAAUACACAGAGGGAGCAACUGCAAACUCACGGUAAUAUAACAAUCCUAAAUGAUUUUUGUAAUUAUUCAACAUUACACGGGAAAUAUUUUGCAGAAACUAGUACAGCGGGUGAAUACUCACCACAUCAAUAGGGUCUUGUGGUUGACGAACCGCCCUUUUAGGGCCCAUUUUUCUUGAAAUAACCCGCAAAAAUGAAACAAGCCCAAAACAACCAAGAUAUCAAUUUAUAAGGCAAAACAGGAAAUCGGCCGCCCAGUUUCCACGUCGUGGGUUUCGUCUCCACAUCGUGGACCUGGUCCGAGACGUGUUUCUAGAAUGAACCAUCUAUGGUUAAAAUCAACCACAUAUCUCAAUUUGGGUUCAUUUAUUCCAUUAUUCUAUGGCCUUACAUCACACAUGUAUUUGAAAAUAACCAUCUAAUGGACUUAAUUUUGGGUAUUUCCUCUCUAAAGAAACCCUAACUACCAAAUACAUAAAAUGUGAAGUAACACUUAUCAAAUGACGUUUUAAGACAAAGGGUGCAAGAAAUUUGGAAGAAAAUGGUAGAAAGUGGUAGAAAAUUGAGUGUGGGGUUGAGGUUCUUCUUCCGUGUGCAUAGUAAACAAAUAAGGAAUGGUCAAACUUUUAAAUAUAAACUGGUCCUCCCAUCCGUGUUUUUUAAAGACGAUGUUGUGGACCUGGAUACCACAUCGUGGGCUUGUACACUAAGCCUAAACUGAUCGGGCUACUCUUUCUUUCAUGAAGUGUGCUUUUAACCCAUGACACGAAAUUGAGACUUUAAUCUUUAAAGGUCCAUUUUUAAUAUAAAAACCUUAAUUUAUUUACCAUAAUUUUUUUUUAGAACCCACACAUGAUUUUCACAAAUUCCUUUAAUAAUAAAACAAUUAGAUGACUAAUUAUCCUACAACUCAACUAAAAUGCAAAAAAUUAAAAUAGGUUAAAAAACGAAAAAAGAAAUUAAAACCAGGCUCGGUUUGCCUCCCGAGAAGCACUUCUUUUAGUUAGAGUCUUGAGCCGGACUCCGUGCCACCCUACGUUGACUUAGUCGGAGUAUACUUCACCAUUUGCACCUUUUGCUCCUUCCAUUUCCUUUUAUACGAGUAGACUCGUCUAAGAUACACCUUUUUGGAAUUUUCUUGUUUACCCUUUCCAUCUCAUUCUUUGAUCUUUCUUUUAACUCCCUUAUUUUCCACAUGUUUAACUUCUUCGUUUUUAAGCUCCAUGGACACGAUCCUCAUUUCGACAAUUGAAAUCUUUAAUUUAGAAGUAACAUCUUGUUCAUCACGGGAAACCAAUUCUUCUUUAUCUUCACUCACCCAAGAUGUUGGAGUUUUAUAAUCAGUAACUUUAAAGACCUUAGGAACAGGUUCUCUCGGUGUGGUGCGGUUCACUUGUCGAAUCUCUUCUUCCAUAAGUUUUUCUAAUUUUUCAAGUUCAUUCUCUUCAUCGACAUCGAAAACUUCAUUUUGAACAUUACUUCCUUGGAAACCAUCUUCUACUCCAAAAGUAGCUUCAUCAUCUCCCACUCUCAAGGUAAUCUUGGAAUCGCGAAUAUCAACCAAGGCUCUAAUGGUAUUAAGUAAAGGGCAACCAAAGAUAAUUGGAACAUUAUUGUCUUCUUUUAUGUCCAUUAUGACAAAAUCAAUUAGAAAAAUGAAUUUUCAAAUUUUAACUAAAAUAUCUUCUACAAUUCCUCUCGGAUAUGUCACUGAACGAUUGGCCAUGUAAAUUAUCAUUCUUGUAGCCUUCAACUUUGUAAUAUUGAGCUUUUGAUAAAAUGAGAAUGACAUUAGAUUUACGCUAGCCCCAGAAUCAGCUAUAGCGUAAGUCUUCAUAUUAUUCCCAAAUUUACAUGGAAGAGUGAGGCAUCCAGGAUCUCCCAUCUUCUUUGGUAACUCUCCCAUAAUUACUUUAGAACUCUGUUUACUUAGAAUUACUUUGGAAUCCUUCUCUAGCUGUUGGCGAGUAUUGAUUAAAUCUUGCAAAAAGUUGGCAUACUCGGGAACUUUAGAUAACGAAUCAAUGAAAGGGGUAUUUAUUGGAAUACCCUUCACUUGUUGCGUAAACUUCAUAUGCUCCUGUUCUAGUGGAUGGGUAUUGGCUCGGGUAUGAAACAGUAAAGGAGGACAAUAAGUAGGAACAUUAUCUAAAUUUUCCCUAUUAGACCUAUCCCACAUCGUGGAAAUUGAAUCCCCACGUCGUGGUAUCAGUUUUUUCAGCAAGUUUACGCUCCUCGAGUUUGGACUUCUUUGGCUUUGGUUCAGACUGAGGUGGAUCGACUUCUAGUGCUUCAAAGAACUCAGAAAUGGUAUCCUCUUCGGUUUCUAUUACCAUGGCAUGUGAUUAGGGCCUUUUCCCCAUGAUUUUUGGAGAUAAUUUAUCUUGUACUAGAGUAGUUAGUUGACCUAGUUGGACUUCAAUAUUUUGGAUUAAUGCUUGGUCACUUCGUAGCAAGGCUUGUUGUUCCUUCAUGAUAUUCUGAUCUUCCCUUAUCACUGCAUCUUUUUCAUCGUACCUUUUCUCGGAAACCUCCAUAAAUCUAUGUAACGUAGAUUCAAGAUCAACUUUUUUCUCGGGAGGUGGUUGUUCUUUUUCGUAGAAGCCUCGGUCAAUCUGUCUAUACUUCUCUUCUUUUUGCUUCUUGUAUUUGUUAUAUGGUAACCACUCCCUUUUUGGUUUCCUCCAAUUUUCAACAUACUUGUCCCCACUUGAGUAGCAAACUUGUGCCUUUUUAUUUCCAUGUUCAUCCAAGUGGCUAUCUUUUAUUAAGUGUGGAUCAUUGCACCUUUCACAACGAACUCUAAUUGUAUGAAUUGAUUGGUCCAUUUUGGUCAUUCUUCUAUCCAUGGUAUCAAGCAUGGCUAGUACAGUAGCUAUGUCUUCAGAAUUUACUACCCUAAUUCCUUUAGCUUCGUCAUGUAUUGGAUUAUGGUAUUCACGAGAAUGCUUUGAGAAUUCUUCAAUCAACUCCUUUACUUCACCCAAAAUUUUCUUAGUAAGUGGUCCUUGAGAAUCAAGGAGUUGCCUUGUCAUGACAUUCACCCCGUCAUAAAAGAUACACUUCUUGUUGUAUGUUAAGGACAUUUUGAAGGUAGUUUCUAAGUAACCCUUUAUAACGCUCCCAUUCCUCAUAAAGUAACUCACGCAUUUGUGCCCAACUAGUAAUUGCACUGGGUGGAAGUGCUUUCAACUAGUCUCUUGCAGCUGCUUUAAAAGUAAUAGGAAACAUCCUUAACAACGCAGUCUCUCUUCGAAUAUUCGGGACAUUGAAAUAAUCCGCAAUGUCAUUGACUUCAUCUAAAUGCUUAUAAGCAUCCUCAUGGUUCUGCCCAUAAAAUGGUACAUCCUUAAGUGUAGUAAGAAUGUGCCCUUUCAUCUCGAAUGUUGCAAUGGUGGGAAUUAUAGGUUAUACUAAACCAGGACCAACAUCGUCUCUUAUCCGCUUCUUGUAUGCCCCCGUGGACAUAUCCGCAAUGUUUUCCAUUUUGUUUUAUACGCGUAGACUCGUCUAAGAUACACCUUUUUGGAAUUUUCUUGUUUACCCUUUCCAUCUCAUUCAUCGAUCUUUCUUUGAACUCCCUUAUUUUCCACAUGUUUAACUUCUUCGUUUUUAGGCUCCAUGGACACCAUCCUCUUUUUGACAAUUGAAAUCUUUAAUUUAGAAGUAGCAUCCUCUUCAUCACUAGAAACCAAUUCUUCAUUAUCUUCACUCACCCAAGAUGUUGGAGUUUUAUAAUCAGUAACUUUAAAGACCUUAGGAACAGGUUCGCUCGGUUUGGUGCGGUUCACUUGUCGAAUCUCUUCUUCCAUAAGCUUUUCUAAUUUUUCAAGUUCAUUCUCUUCAUCAACAUCGAAAACAUCAUUUUGAACAUUACUUCCUUGGAAACCAUCUUCUACUCCAAAAGUAGCUUCAUCAUCUCCCACUCUCAAGGUAAUCUUGGAAUCGCGAAUAUCAACCAAGGCUCGUAUGGUAUUAACUAAAGGGCAACCAAAGAUAAUUGGAACAUUAUUGUCUUCUUUCAUGUCCGUUAUGACAAAAUCAAUUAGAAAAAUGAAUUUUCGAAUUUUAACUAAAAUAUCUUCUACAAAUCCUCUCGGAUAUGUCACUGAACGAUUGGCCAUGUAAAUUGUCAUUCUUGUAGCCUUCAACUUUGUAAUAUUGAGCUUUUGAUAAAAUGAGAAUGGCAUUAGAUUUAUGCUAGCCCCAGAAUCAGCUAUAGCGUAAGUCUUCAUAUUAUACCCAAAUUUACAUGGAUGAGUGAGGCAUCCAGGAUCUCCCAUCUUCUUUGGUAACUCUCCCAUAAUUACUUUAGAACUCUGCUUACUUAGAAUUACCUUGGAAUCCUUCUCUAGCUGUUGGCGAGUAUUGAUUAAAUCUUGCAAAAAGUUGGCAUACUUGGGAACUUUAGAUAACGAAUCAAUGAAAGGGGUAUUUAUUGGAAUACCCUUCACUUGUUGCGUAAACUUCAUCUGCUCCUGUUCUAGUGGAUGGGUAUUGGCUCGAGUAUGAAACAGUAAAGGAGGACAAUAAGUAGGAACAUUAUCUAAAUUUUCCCUAUUAGACCUAUCCCACAUCGUGGAAAUUGAAUCCCCACGUCGUGGUAUCAGUUUUUUCAGCAAGUUUACGCUCCUCGAGUUUGGACUUCUUUGGCUUUGGUUCAGACUGAGGUGGAUCGACUUCUAGUGCUUCAAAUAACUCAGAAAUGGUAUCCUCUUCGGUUUCUAUUACCAUGGCAUGUGAUUGGGGCCUUUUCCCCACGAUUUUUGGAGAUAAUUUAUCUUGUACUAGAGUAGUUAGUUGACCUAGUUGGACUUCAAUAUUUUGGAUUGAUGCUUGGUCACUUCGUAGCAAGGCUUGUUGUUCCUUCAUGAUAUUCUGAUCUUCCCUUAUCACUGCAUCUUUUUCAUCGUACCUUUUCUCGGAAACCUCCAUAAAUCUAUGUAACGUAGAUUCAAGAUCAACUUUUUUCUCGGGAGGUGGUUGUUCUUUUUCGUAGAAGCCUCGGUCAAUCUGUCUAUACUUCUCUUCUUUUUGCUUCUUGUAUUUGUUAUAUGGUAACCACUCCCUUUUUGGUUUCCUCCAAUUUUCAACAUACUUGUCCCCACUUGAGUAGCAAACUUGUGCCUUUUUAUUUCCAUGUUCAUCCAAGUGGCUAUCUUUUAUUAAGUGUGGAUCAUUGCACCUUUCACAACAAACUCUAAUUGCAUGAAUUGAUUGGUCCAUUUUGGUCAUUCUUCUAUCCAUGGUAUCAAGCAUGGCUAGUACAGUAGCUAUGUCUUCAGAAUUUACUACCCUAAUUCCUUUAGCUUCGUCAUGUAUUGGAUUAUGGUAUUCACGAGAAUGCUUUGAGAAUUCUUCAAUCAACUCCUUUACUUCACCCAAAAUUUUCUUAGUAAGUGGUCCUUGAGAAUCAAGGAGUUGCCUUGUCAUGACAUUCACCCCGUCAUAAAAGAUACACUUCUUGUUGUAUGUUAAGGUCAUUUUGAAGGUAGUUUCUAAGUAACCCUUUAUAACGCUCCCAUUCCUCAUAAAGUAACUCACGCAUUUGUGCCCAACUAGUAAUUGCACUAGGUGGAAGUGCUUUGAACUGAUCUCUUGCAGCUGCUUUAAAAGUAACAGGAAACAUCCUUAACAACGCAGUCUCUCUUCGAAUAUUCGGGACAUUGAAAUAAUCCGCAAUGUCAUUGACUUCAUCUAAAUGCUUAUAAGCAUCCUCAUGGUUCUGCCCAUAAAAUGGUACAUCCUUAAGUGUAGUAAGAAUGUGCCCUUUCAUCUCGAAUGUUGCAAUGGUGGGAAUUAUAGGUUAUACUAAACCAGGACCAACAUCGUCUCUUAUCCGCUUCUUGUAUGCCCCCGUGGACAUAUCCGCAAUGUUUUCCAUUUUGUUUUAUACGCGUAGACUCGUCUAAGAUACACCUUUUUGGAAUUUUCUUGUUUACCCUUUCCAUCUCAUUCAUCGAUCUUUCUUUGAACUCCCUUAUUUUCCACAUGUUUAACUUCUUCGUUUUUAGGCUCCAUGGACACCAUCCUCUUUUCGACAAUUGAAAUCUUUAAUUUAGAAGUAGCAUCCUCUUCAUCACUAGAAACCAAUUCUUCAUUAUCUUCACUCACCCAAGAUGUUGGAGUUUUAUAAUCAGUAACUUUAAAGACCUUAGGAACAGGUUCGCUCGGUUUGGUGCGGUUCACUUGUCGAAUCUCUUCUUCCAUAAGCUUUUCUAAUUUUUCAAGUUCAUUCUCUUCAUCAACAUCGAAAACAUCAUUUUGAACAUUACUUCCUUGGAAACCAUCUUCUACUCCAAAAGUAGCUUCAUCAUCUCCCACUCUCAAGGUAAUCUUGGAAUCGCGAAUAUCAACCAAGGCUCGUAUGGUAUUAACUAAAGGGCAACCAAAGAUAAUUGGAACAUUAUUGUCUUCUUUCAUGUCCCUUAUGACAAAAUCAAUUAGAAAAAUGAAUUUUCAAAUUUUAACUAAAAUAUCUUCUACAAAUCCUCUCGGAUAUGUCACUGAACGAUUGGCCAUGUAAAUUGUCAUUCUUGUAGCCUUCAACUUUGUAAUAUUGAGCUUUUGAUAAAAUGAGAAUGGCAUUAGAUUUAUGCUAGCCCCAGAAUCAGCUAUAGCGUAAGUCUUCAUAUUAUACCCAAAUUUACAUGGAUGAGUGAGGCAUCCAGGAUCUCCCAUCUUCUUUGGUAACUCUCCCAUAAUUACUUUAGAACUCUGCUUACUUAGAAUUACCUUGGAAUCCUUCUCUAGCUGUUGGCGAGUAUUGAUUAAAUCUUGCAAAAACUUGGCAUACUCGGGAACUUUAGAUAACGAAUCAAUGAAAGGGGUAUUUAUUGGAAUACCCUUCACUUGUUGUGUAAAAUUCAUAUGCUCCUGUUCUAGUGGAUGGGUAUUGGCUCGGGUACGAAACGGUAAAGGAGGACAAUAAGUAGGAACAUUAUCUAAAUUUUUCCUAUUAGACCUAUCCCACAUCGUGGAAAUUGAAUCCCCACGUCGUGGUAUCAGUUUUUUCAGCAAGUUUACGCUCCUCGAGUUUGGACUUCUUUGGCUUUGGUUCAGACUGAGGUGGAUCGACUUCUAGUGCUUCAAAUAACUCAGAAAUGGUAUCCUCUUCGGUUUCUAUUACCAUGGCAUGUGAUUGGGGCCUUUUCCCCACGAUUUUUGGAGAUAAUUUAUCUUGUACUAGAGUAGUUAGUUGACCUAGUUGGACUUCAAUAUUUUGGAUUGAUGCUUGGUCACUUCGUAGCAAGGCUUGUUGUUCCUUCAUGAUAUUCUGAUCUUCCCUUAUCACUGCAUCUUUUUCAACGUACCUUUUCUUGGAAACCUCCAUAAAUCUAUGUAACGUAGAUUCAAGAUCAACUUUUUUCUCGGGAGGUGGUUGUUCUUUUUCGUAGAAGCCUCGGUCAAUCUGUCUAUACUUCUCUUCUUUUUGCUUCUUGUAUUUGUUAUAUGGUAACCACUCCCUUUUUGGUUUCCUCCAAUUUUCAACAUACUUGUCCCCACUUGAGUAGCAAACUUGUGCCUUUUUAUUUCCAUGUUCAUCCAAGUGGCUAUCUUUUAUUAAGUGUGGAUCAUUGCACCUUUCACAACAAACUCUAAUUGCAUGAAUUGAUUGGUCCAUUUUGGUCAUUCUUCUAUCCAUGGUAUCAAGCAUGGCUAGUACAGUAGCUAUGUCUUCAGAAUUUACUACCCUAAUUCCUUUAGCUUCGUCAUGUAUUGGAUUAUGGUAUUCACGAGAAGGCUUUGAGAAUUCUUCAAUCAACUCCUUUACUUCACCCAAAAUUUUCUUAGUAAGUGGUCCUUGAGAAUCAAGGAGUUGCCUUGUCAUGACAUUCACCCCGUCAUAAAAGAUACACUUCUUGUUGUAUGUUAAGGACAUUUUGAAGGUAGUUUCUAAGUAACCCUUUAUAACGCUCCCAUUCCUCAUAAAGUAACUCACGCAUUUGUGCCCAACUAGUAAUUGCACUGGGUGGAAGUGCUUUCAACUAGUCUCUUGCAGCUGCUUUAAAAGUAAUAGGAAACAUCCUUAACAACGCAGUCUCUCUUCGAAUAUUCGGGACAUUGAAAUAAUCCGCAAUGUCAUUGACUUCAUCUAAAUGCUUAUAAGCAUCCUCAUGGUUCUGCCCAUAAAAUGGUACAUCCUUAAGUGUAGUAAGAAUGUGCCCUUUCAUCUCGAAUGUUGCAAUGGUGGGAAUUAUAGGUUAUACUAAACCAGGACCAACAUCGUCUCUUAUCCGCUUCUUGUAUGCCCCCGUGGACAUAUCCGCAAUGUUUUCCAUUUUGGUUUAUACGCGUAGACUCGUCUAAGAUACACCUUUUUGGAAUUUUCUUGUUUACCCUUUCCAUCUCAUUCAUCGAUCUUUCUUUGAACUCCCUUAUUUUCCACAUGUUUAACUUCUUCGUUUUUAGGCUCCAUGGACACCAUCCUCUUUUCGACAAUUGAAAUCUUUAAUUUAGAAGUAGCAUCCUCUUCAUCACUAGAAACCAAUUCUUCAUUAUCUUCACUCACCCAAGAUGUUGGAGUUUUAUAAUCAGUAACUUUAAAGACCUUAGGAACAGGUUCGCUCGGUUUGGUGCGGUUCACUUGUCGAAUCUCUUCUUCCAUAAGCUUUUCUAAUUUUUCAAGUUCAUUCUCUUCAUCAACAUCGAAAACAUCAUUUUGAACAUUACUUCCUUGGAAACCAUCUUCUACUCCAAAAGUAGCUUCAUCAUCUCCCACUCUCAAGGUAAUCUUGGAAUCGCGAAUAUCAACCAAGGCUCGUAUGGUAUUAACUAAAGGGCAACCAAAGAUAAUUGGAACAUUAUUGUCUUCUUUCAUGUCCCUUAUGACAAAAUCAAUUAGAAAAAUGAAUUUUCAAAUUUUAACUAAAAUAUCUUCUACAAAUCCUCUCGGAUAUGUCACUGAACGAUUGGCCAUGUAAAUUGUCAUUCUUGUAGCCUUCAACUUUGUAAUAUUGAGCUUUUGAUAAAAUGAGAAUGGCAUUAGAUUUAUGCUAGCCCCAGAAUCAGCUAUAGCGUAAGUCUUCAUAUUAUACCCAAAUUUACAUGGAUGAGUGAGGCAUCCAGGAUCUCCCAUCUUCUUUGGUAACUCUCCCAUAAUUACUUUAGAACUCUGCUUACUUAGAAUUACCUUGGAAUCCUUCUCUAGCUGUUGGCGAGUAUUGAUUAAAUCUUGCAAAAACUUGGCAUACUCGGGAACUUUAGAUAACGAAUCAAUGAAAGGGGUAUUUAUUGGAAUACCCUUCACUUGUUGUGUAAAAUUCAUAUGCUCCUGUUCUAGUGGAUGGGUAUUGGCUCGGGUACGAAACGGUAAAGGAGGACAAUAAGUAGGAACAUUAUCUAAAUUUUUCCUAUUAGACCUAUCCCACAUCGUGGAAAUUGAAUCCCCACGUCGUGGUAUCAGUUUUUUCAGCAAGUUUACGCUCCUCGAGUUUGGACUUCUUUGGCUUUGGUUCAGACUGAGGUGGAUCGACUUCUAGUGCUUCAAAUAACUCAGAAAUGGUAUCCCUUUCGGUUUCUACUACCAUGGCAUGUGAUUGGGGCCAUUUCCCCACGAUUUUUGGAGAUAAUUUAUCUUGUACUAGAGUAGUUAGUUGACCUAGUUGGACUUCAAUAUUUUGGAUUAAUGCUUGGUCACUUCGUAGCAAGGCUUGUUGUUCCUUCAUGAUAUUCUGAUCUUCCCUUAUCACUGCAUCUUUUUCAUCGUACCUUUUCUCGGAAACCUCCAUAAAUCUAUGUAACGUAGAUUCAAGAUCAACUUUUUUCUCGGGAGGUGGUUGUUCUUUUUCGUAGAAGCCUCGGUCAAUCUGUCUAUACUUCUCUUCUUUUUGCUUCUUGUAUUUGUUAUAUGGUAACCACUCCCUUUUUGGUUUCCUCCAAUUUUCAACAUACUUGUCCCCACUUGAGUAGCAAACUUGUGCCUUUUUAUUUCCAUGUUCAUCCAAGUGGCUAUCUUUUAUUAAGUGUGGAUCAUUGCACCUUUCACAACAAACUCUAAUUGCAUGAAUUGAUUGGUCCAUUUUGGUCAUUCUUCUAUCCAUGGUAUCAAGCAUGGCUAGUACAGUAGCUAUGUCUUCAGAAUUUACUACCCUAAUUCCUUUAGCUUCGUCAUGUAUUGGAUUAUGGUAUUCACGAGAAUGCUUUGAGAAUUCUUCAAUCAACUCCUUUACUUCACCCAAAAUUUUCUUAGUAAGUGGUCCUUGAGAAUCAAGGAGUUGCCUUGUCAUGACAUUCACCCCGUCAUAAAAGAUACACUUCUUGUUGUAUGUUAAGGACAUUUUGAAGGUAGUUUCUAAGUAACCCUUUAUAACGCUCCCAUUCCUCAUAAAGUAACUCACGCAUUUGUGCCCAACUAGUAAUUGCACUGGGUGGAAGUGCUUUCAACUAGUCUCUUGCAGCUGCUUUAAAAGUAAUAGGAAACAUCCUUAACAACGCAGUCUCUCUUCGAAUAUUCGGGACAUUGAAAUAAUCCGCAAUGUCAUUGACUUCAUCUAAAUGCUUAUAAGCAUCCUCAUGGUUCUGCCCAUAAAAUGGUACAUCCUUAAGUGUAGUAAGAAUGUGCCCUUUCAUCUCGAAUGUUGCAAUGGUGGGAAUUAUAGGUUAUACUAAACCAGGACCAACAUCGUCUCUUAUCCGCUUCUUGUAUGCCCCCGUGGACAUAUCCGCAAUGUUUUCCAUUUUGUUUUAUACGCGUAGACUCGUCUAAGAUACACCUUUUUGGAAUUUUCUUGUUUACCCUUUCCAUCUCAUUCAUCGAUCUUUCUUUGAACUCCCUUAUUUUCCACAUGUUUAACUUCUUCGUUUUUAGGCUCCAUGGACACCAUCCUCUUUUCGACAAUUGAAAUCUUUAAUUUAGAAGUAGCAUCCUCUUCAUCACUAGAAACCAAUUCUUCAUUAUCUUCACUCACCCAAGAUGUUGGAGUUUUAUAAUCAGUAACUUUAAAGACCUUAGGAACAGGUUCGCUCGGUUUGGUGCGGUUCACUUGUCGAAUCUCUUCUUCCAUAAGCUUUUCUAAUUUUUCAAGUUCAUUCUCUUCAUCAACAUCGAAAACAUCAUUUUGAACAUUACUUCCUUGGAAACCAUCUUCUACUCCAAAAGUAGCUUCAUCAUCUCCCACUCUCAAGGUAAUCUUGGAAUCGCGAAUAUCAACCAAGGCUCGUAUGGUAUUAACUAAAGGGCAACCAAAGAUAAUUGGAACAUUAUUGUCUUCUUUCAUGUCCCUUAUGACAAAAUCAAUUAGAAAAAUGAAUUUUCAAAUUUUAACUAAAAUAUCUUCUACAAAUCCUCUCGGAUAUGUCACUGAACGAUUGGCCAUGUAAAUUGUCAUUCUUGUAGCCUUCAACUUUGUAAUAUUGAGCUUUUGAUAAAAUGAGAAUGGCAUUAGAUUUAUGCUAGCCCCAGAAUCAGCUAUAGCGUAAGUCUUCAUAUUAUACCCAAAUUUACAUGGAUGAGUGAGGCAUCCAGGAUCUCCCAUCUUCUUUGGUAACUCUCCCAUAAUUACUUUAGAACUCUGCUUACUUAGAAUUACCUUGGAAUCCUUCUCUAGCUGUUGGCGAGUAUUGAUUAAAUCUUGCAAAAACUUGGCAUACUCGGGAACUUUAGAUAACGAAUCAAUGAAAGGGGUAUUUAUUGGAAUACCCUUCACUUGUUGUGUAAACUUCAUAUGCUCCUGUUCUAGUGGAUGGGUAUUGGCUCGGGUACGAAACGGUAAAGGAGGACAAUAAGUAGGAACAUUAUCUAAAUUUUUCCUAUUAGACCUAUCCCACAUCGUGGAAAUUGAAUCCCCACGUCGUGGUAUCAGUUUUUUCAGCAAGUUUACGCUCCUCGAGUUUGGACUUCUUUGGCUUUGGUUCAGACUGAGGUGGAUCGACUUCUAGUGCUUCAAAGAACUCAGAAAUGGUAUCCUCUUCGGUUUCUAUUACCAUGGCAUGUGAUUAGGGCCUUUUCCCCACGAUUUUUGGAGAUAAUUUAUCUUGUACUAGAGUAGUUAGUUGACCUAGUUGGACUUCAAUAUUUUGGAUUAAUGCUUGGUCACUUCGUAGCAAGGCUUGUUGUUCCUUCAUGAUAUUCUGAUCUUCCCUUAUCACUGCAUCUUUUUCAUCGUACCUUUUCUCGGAAACCUCCAUAAAUCUAUGUAACGUAGAUUCAAGAUCAACUUUUUUCUCGGGAGGUGGUUGUUCUUUUUCGUAGAAGCCUCGGUCAAUCUGUCUAUACUUCUCUUCUUUUUGCUUCUUGUAUUUGUUAUAUGGUAACCACUCCCUUUUUGGUUUCCUCCAAUUUUCAACAUACUUGUCCCCACUUGAGUAGCAAACUUGUGCCUUUUUAUUUCCAUGUUCAUCCAAGUGGCUAUCUUUUAUUAAGUGUGGAUCAUUGCACCUUUCACAACAAACUCUAAUUGCAUGAAUUGAUUGGUCCAUUUUGGUCAUUCUUCUAUCCAUGGUAUCAAGCAUGGCUAGUACAGUAGCUAUGUCUUCAGAAUUUACUACCCUAAUUCCUUUAGCUUCGUCAUGUAUUGGAUUAUGGUAUUCACGAGAAUGCUUUGAGAAUUCUUCAAUCAACUCCUUUACUUCACCCAAAAUUUUCUUAGUAAGUGGUCCUUGAGAAUCAAGGAGUUGCCUUGUCAUGACAUUCACCCCGUCAUAAAAGAUACACUUCUUGUUGUAUGUUAAGGACAUUUUGAAGGUAGUUUCUAAGUAACCCUUUAUAACGCUCCCAUUCCUCAUAAAGUAACUCACGCAUUUGUGCCCAACUAGUAAUUGCACUGGGUGGAAGUGCUUUCAACUAGUCUCUUGCAGCUGCUUUAAAAGUAAUAGGAAACAUCCUUAACAACGCAGUCUCUCUUCGAAUAUUCGGGACAUUGAAAUAAUCCGCAAUGUCAUUGACUUCAUCUAAAUGCUUAUAAGCAUCCUCAUGGUUCUGCCCAUAAAAUGGUACAUCCUUAAGUGUAGUAAGAAUGUGCCCUUUCAUCUCGAAUGUUGCAAUGGUGGGAAUUAUAGGUUAUACUAAACCAGGACCAACAUCGUCUCUUAUCCGCUUCUUGUAUGCCCCCGUGGACAUAUCCGCAAUGUUUUCCAUUUUGGUUUAUACGCGUAGACUCGUCUAAGAUACACCUUUUUGGAAUUUUCUUGUUUACCCUUUCCAUCUCAUUCAUCGAUCUUUCUUUGAACUCCCUUAUUUUCCACAUGUUUAACUUCUUCGUUUUUAGGCUCCAUGGACACCAUCCUCUUUUCGACAAUUGAAAUCUUUAAUUUAGAAGUAGCAUCCUCUUCAUCACUAGAAACCAAUUCUUCAUUAUCUUCACUCACCCAAGAUGUUGGAGUUUUAUAAUCAGUAACUUUAAAGACCUUAGGAACAGGUUCGCUCGGUUUGGUGCGGUUCACUUGUCGAAUCUCUUCUUCCAUAAGCUUUUCUAAUUUUUCAAGUUCAUUCUCUUCAUCAACAUCGAAAACAUCAUUUUGAACAUUACUUCCUUGGAAACCAUCUUCUACUCCAAAAGUAGCUUCAUCAUCUCCCACUCUCAAGGUAAUCUUGGAAUCGCGAAUAUCAACCAAGGCUCGUAUGGUAUUAACUAAAGGGCAACCAAAGAUAAUUGGAACAUUAUUGUCUUCUUUCAUGUCCCUUAUGACAAAAUCAAUUAGAAAAAUGAAUUUUCAAAUUUUAACUAAAAUAUCUUCUACAAAUCCUCUCGGAUAUGACACUGAACGAUUGGCCAUGUAAAUUGUCAUUCUUGUAGCCUUCAACUUUGUAAUAUUGAGCUUUUGAUAAAAUGAGAAUGGCAUUAGAUUUAUGCUAGCCCCAGAAUCAGCUAUAGCGUAAGUCUUCAUAUUAUACCCAAAUUUACAUGGAUGAGUGAGGCAUCCAGGAUCUCCCAUCUUCUUUGGUAACUCUCCCAUAAUUACUUUAGAACUCUGCUUACUUAGAAUUACCUUGGAAUCCUUCUCUAGCUGUUGGCGAGUAUUGAUUAAAUCUUGCAAAAACUUGGCAUACUCGGGAACUUUAGAUAACGAAUCAAUGAAAGGGGUAUUUAUUGGAAUACCCUUCACUUGUUGUGUAAACUUCAUAUGCUCCUGUUCUAGUGGAUGGGUAUUGGCUCGGGUAUGAAACAGUAAAGGAGGACAAUAAGUAGGAACAUUAUCUAAAUUUUCCCUAUUAGACCUAUCCCACAUCGUGGAAAUUGAAUCCCCACGUCGUGGUAUCAGUUUUUUCAGCAAGUUUACGCUCCUCGAGUUUGGACUUCUUUGGCUUUGGUUCAGACUGAGGUGGAUCGACUUCUAGUGCUUCAAAGAACUCAGAAAUGGUAUCCUCUUCGGUUUCUAUUACCAUGGCAUGUAAUUGGGGCCUUUUCCCCACGAUUUUUGGAGAUGAUUUAUCUUGUACUAGAGUAAUUAGUUGACCUAGUUGGACUUCAAUAUUUUGGAUUGAUGCUUGGUCACUUUGUAGCAAGGCUUGUUGUUCCUUCAUGAUAUUCUGAUCUUCCCUUAUCACUGCAUCUUUUUCAUGGUACCUUUUCUCGGAAAGCUCCAUAAAUCUAUGUAACGUAGAUUCAAGAUCAACUUUUUUCUCGGGAGGUGGUUGUUCUUUUUCGUAGAAGUCUCGGUCAAUCUGUCUAUANAGAAGCCUCGGUCAAUCUGUCUAUACUUCUCUUCUUUUUGCUUCUUGUAUUUGUUAUAUGGUAACCACUCCCUUUUUGGUUUCCUCCAAUUUUCAACAUACUUGUCCCCACUUGAGUAGCAAACUUGUGCCUUUUUAUUUCCAUGUUCAUCCAAGUGGCUAUCUUUUAUUAAGUGUGGAUCAUUGCACCUUUCACAACAAACUCUAAUUGCAUGAAUUGAUUGGUCCAUUUUGGUCAUUCUUCUAUCCAUGGUAUCAAGCAUGGCUAGUACAAUAGCUAUGUCUUCAGAAUUUACUACCCUAAUUCCUUUAGCUUCGUCAUGUAUUGGAUUAUGGUAUUCACGAGAAUGCGUUGAGAAUUCUUCAAUCAACUCCUUUACUUCACCCAAAAUUUUCUUAGUAAGUGGUCCUUGAGAAUCAAGAAGUUGCCUUGUCAUGACAUUCACCCCGUCAUAAAAGAUACACUUUUUGUUGUAUGUUAAGGUCAUUUUGAAGGUAGUUUCUAAGUACCCUUUAUAACGCUCCCAUUCCUCAUAAAGUAACUCACGCAUUUGUGCCCAACUAGUAAUUGCACUAGGUGGAAGUGCUUCCAACUAGNUUGCACUGGGUGGAAGUGCUUUCAACUAGUCUCUUGCAGCUGCUUUAAAAGUAAUAGGAAACAUCCUUAACAACGCAGUCUCUCUUCGAAUAUUCGGGACAUUGAAAUAAUCCGCAAUGUCAUUGACUUCAUCUAAAUGGAUAUAAGCAUCCUCAUGGUUCUGCCCAUAAAAUGGUACAUCCUUAAGUGUAGUAAGAAUGUGCCCUUUCAUCUCGAAUGUUGCAAUGUUGGGAAUUAUAGGUUAUACUAAACCAGGACCAACAUCGUCUCUUAUCCGCUUCUUGUAUGCCCCCGUGGACAUAUCCGCAAUGUUUUCCAUUUAUUUUUAUACGCGUAGACUCAUCUAAGAUACACCUUUUUGGAAUUUUUUUGUUUACCCUUUCCAUCUCAUUCAUCGAUCUUUCUUUUAACUCCCUUAUUUUCCACAUGUUUAACUUCUUCGUUUUUAAGCUCCAUGGACACCAUCCUCUUUUCGACAAUUGAAAUCUUUAAUUUAGAAGUAGCAUCCUCUUCAUCGCUAGAAACCAGUUCUUCAUUAUCUUCACUCACCCAAGAUGUUGGAGUUUUAUAAUCAGUAACUUUAAAGACCUUAGGAACAGGUUCGCUCGGUUUGGUGCGGUUCACUUGUCGAAUCUCUUCUUCCAUAAGCUUUUCUAAUUUUUCAAGUUCAUUCUCUUCAUCAACAUCGAAAACAUCAUUUUGAACAUUACUUCCUUGGAAACCAUCUUCUACUCCAAAAGUAGCUUCAUCAUCUCCCACUCUCAAGGUAAUCUUGGAAUCGCGAAUAUCAACCAAGGCUCUUAUGGUAUUAACUAAAGGGCAACCAAAGAUAAUUGGAACAUUAUUGUCUUCUUUCAUGUCCAUUAUGACAAAAUCAAUUAGAAAAAUGAAUUUUCAAAUCUUAACUAAAAUAUCUUCUACAAUUCCUCUCGGAUAUGUCACUGAACGAUUGGCCAUGUAAAUUGUCAUUCUUGUAGCCUUCAACUUUGUAAUAUUAAGCUUUUGAUAAAAUGAGAAUGGCAUUAGAUUUAUGCUAGCCCCAGAAUCAGCUAUAGCGUAAGUCUUCAUAUUAUACCCAAAUUUACAUGGAUGAGUGAGGCAUCCAGGAUCUCCCAUCUUCUUUGGUAACUCUCCCAUAAUUACUUUAGAACUCUGCUUACUUAGAAUUACCUUGGAAUCCUUCUCUAGCUGUUGGCGAGUAUUGAUUAAAUUUUGCAAAAAGUUGGCAUACUCGGGAACAUCCUUAACAAUGCAUUCUCUCUUCGAACAUUCGGGACAUUGAAAUAAUCUGCAAUGUCAUUGACUUCAUCUAAAUGCUUAUAAGCAUCCUCAUGGUUCUGCCCAUAAAAUGGUACAUCCUUAAGUGUAGUAAGAAUGUGCCCUUUCAUCUCGAAUGUUGCAAUGGUGGGAAUUAUAGGUUAUACUAAACCAGGACCAACAUCGUCUCUUAUCCGCUUCUUGUAUGCCCCCGUGGACAUAUCCGCAAUGUUUUCCAUUUUGCUUUAAACGCGUUGACUCGUCUAAGAUACACCUUUUUGGAAUUUUCUUGUUUACCCUUUCCAUCUCAUUCUUCGAUCUUUCUUUUAACUCCCUUAUUUUCCACAUGUUUAACUUCUUCGUUUUUAUGCUCCAUGGACACCAUCCUCUUUUCGACAAUUGAAAUCUUUAAUUUAGAUGUAACAUCCUCUUCAUGACUGGAAACCAAUUCUUCAUUGUCUUCACUCACCCAAGAUGUUGGAGUUUUAUAAUCAGUAACUUUAAAGACCUUAGGAACAGGUUCUCUCGGUUUGGUGCGGUUCACAUGUCGAAUCUCUUCUUCCAUAAGCUUUUCUAAUUUUUCAAGUUCAUUCUCUUCAUCAACAUUGAAAACAUCAUUUUGAACAUUACUUCCUUGGAAACCAUCUUCUACUCCAAAAGUAGCUUCAUCAUCUCCCACUCUCAAGGUAAUCAUGGAAUCGCGAAUAUCAAUCAAGGCUCUUAUGGUAUUAACUAAAGGGAAACCAAAGAUAAUUGGAACAUUAUUGUCUUCUUUCAUGUCCCUUAUGACAAAAUCAAUUAGAAAAAUGAAUUUUCAAAUUUUAACUAAAAUAUCUUCUACAAAUCCUCUUGGAUAUGUCACUGAACGAUUGGCCAUGUAAAUUGUCAUUCUUGUAGCCUUCAACUUUGUAAUAUUGAGCUUUUGAUAAAAUGAGAAUGACAUUAGAUUUACGCUUGCCCCAGAAUCAGCUAUAGCGUAAGUCUUCAUAUUAUUCCCAAAUUUACAUGGUAGAGUGAGGCAUCCAGGAUCUCCCAUCUUCUUUGGUAACUCUCCCAUAAUUACUUUAGAUCUCUGCUUACUUAGAAUUACCUUGGAAUCCUUCUCUAGCUGUUGGCGAGUAUUGAUUAAAUCUUGCAAAAACUUGGCAUACUCAGGAACUUUAGAUAAUGAAUCAAUGAAAGGGGUAUUUAUUGGAAUACCCUUCACUUGUUGCAUAAACUUCAUAUGCUACUGUUCUAGUGGAUGGGUAUUGGCUCGGGUACGAAACAGUAAAGCAGGACAAUAAGUAGGAACAUUAUCUAAAUUUUUCCUAUUAGACCUAUCCCAUAUCGUGGAAAUUGAAUCCCCACGUCGUGGUAUCAGUUUUUUCAGCAAGUUUACGCUCCUCGAGUUUGGACUUCUUUGGCUUUGGUUCAGACUGAGGUGGAUCGACUUCUAGUGCUUCAAAUAACUCAGAAAUGGUAUCCUCUUCGGUUUCUAUUACCAUGGCAUGUGAUUGGGGCCUUUUCCCCACGAUUUUUGGAGAUAAUUUAUCUUGUACUAGAGUAGUUAGUUGACCUAGUUGGACUUCAAUAUUUUGGAUUGAUGCUUGGUCACUUCGUAGCAAGGCUUGUUGUUCCUUCAUGAUAUUCUGAUCUUCCCUUAUCACUGCAUCUUUUUCAUCGUACCUUUUCUCGGAAACCUCCAUAAAUCUAUGUAACGUAGAUUCAAGAUCAACUUUUUUCUCGGGAGGUGGUUGUUCUUUUUCGUAGAAGCCUCGGUCAAUCUGUCUAUACUUCUCUUCUUUUUGCUUCUUGUAUUUGUUAUAUGGUAACCACUCCCUUUUUGGUUUCCUCCAAUUUUCAACAUACUUGUCCCCACUUGAGUAGCAAACUUGUGCCUUUUUAUUUCCAUGUUCAUCCAAGUGGCUAUCUUUUAUUAAGUGUGGAUCAUUGCAACUUUCCCAACAAACUCUAAUUGCAUGAUGUGAUUGGUCCAUUUUGGUCAUUCUUCUAUUUAUGGUAUCAAGCAUGGCUAGUACAGUAGCUAUGUCUUCAGAAUUUACUACCCUAAUUCCUUUAGCUUCGUCAUGUAUUGGAUUAUGGUAUUCACGAGAAUGCUUUGAGAAUUCUUCAAUCAACUCCUUUACUUCACCCAAAAUUUUCUUAGUAAGUGGUCCUUGAGAAUCAAGGAGUUGCCUUGUCAUGACAUUCACCCCGUCAUAAAAGAUACAUUUCUUAUUGUAUGUUAAGGACAUUUUGAAGGUAGUUUCUAAGUAACCCUUUAUAACACACCCAUUCCUCAUAAAGUAACUCACGCAUUUGUGCCCAACUAGUAAUUGCACUAGGUGGAAGUGCUUUCAACUAGUCUCUUGCAACUGCUUUAAAAGUAAUAGGAAACAUCCUUAACAAAGCAGUCUCUCUUCGAACAUUCGGGACAUUGAAAUAAUCUGCAAUGUUAUUGACUUCAUCUAAAUGCUUAUAAGCAUCCUCAUGGUUCUGCCCAUAAAAUGGUACAUCCUUAAGUGUAGUAAGAAUGUGCCCUUUCAUCUCGAAUGUUGCAAUGGUGGGAAUUAUAGGUUAUACUAAACCAGGACCAACAUCGUCUCUUAUCCGCUUCUUGUAUGCCCCCGUGGACAUAUCCGCAAUGUUUUCCAUUUUGUUUUAUACGCGUAGACUCGUCUAAGAUACACCUUUUUGGAAUUUUCUUGUUUACCCUUUCCAUCUCAUUCAUCGAUCUUUCUUUGAACUCCCUUAUUUUCCACAUGUUUAACUUCUUCGUUUUUAGGCUCCAUGGACACCAUCCUCUUUUCGAUAAUUGAAAUCUUUAAUUUAGAAGUAGCAUCCUCUUCAUCACUAGAAACCAAUUCUUCAUUAUCUUCACUCACCUAAGAUGUUGGAGUUUUAUAAUCAGUAACUUUAAAGUCCUUAGGAACAGGUUCGCUCGGUUUGGUGCGGUUCACUUGUCGAAUCUCUUCUUCCAUAAGCUUUUCUAAUUUUUCAAGUUCAUUCUCUUCAUCAACAUCGAAAACAUCAUUUUGAACAUUACUUCCUUGGAAACCAUCUUCUACUCCAAAAGUAGCUUCAUCAUCUCCCACUCUCAAGGUAAUCUUGGAAUCGCGAAUAUCAACCAAGGCUCGUAUGGUAUUAACUAAAGGGCAACCAAAGAUAAUUGGAACAUUAUUGUCUUCUUUCAUGUCCAUUAUGACAAAAUCAAUCAGAAAAAUGAAUUUUCAAAUUUUAACUAAAAUAUCUUCUACAAUUCCUCUCGGAUAUUUCACUGAACGAUUGGCCAUGUAAAUUGUCAUUCUUGUAGCCUUCAACUUUGUAAUAUUGAGCUUUUGAUAAAAUGAGAAUGGCAUUAGAUUUAUGCUAGCCCCAGAAUCAGCUAUAGCGUAAGUCUUCAUAUUAUACCCAAAUUUACAUGGAUGAGUGAGGCAUCCAGGAUCUCCCAUCUUCUUUGGUAACUCUCCCAUAAUUACUUUAGAACUCUGCUUACUUAGAAUUACCUUGGAAUCCUUCUCUAGCUGUUGGCGAGUAUUGAUUAAAUCUUGAAAAAACUUGGCAUACUCGGGAACUUUAGAUAACGAAUCAAUGAAAGGGGUAUUUAUGUGAAUACCCUUCACUUGUUGUGUAAACUUCAUAUGCUCCUGUUCUAGUGGAUGGGUAUUGGCUUGGGUACGAAACGGUAAAGGAGGACAAUAAGUGGGAACAUUAUCUAAAUUUUUCCUAUUAGACCUAUCCCACAUCGUGAAAAUUGAAUCCCCACGUCGUGGUAUCAGUUUUUUCAGCAAGUUUACGCUCUUUGAGUUUGGACUUCUUUGGCUUUGGUUCAGACUGAGGUGGAUCGACUUCCACUGCUUCAAAGAACUCAGAAAUUGUAUCCUCUUCGGUUUCUAUUACCAUGGCAUGUGAUUAGGGCUUUUUCCCUUGGAUUUUUGGAGAUAAUUUAUCUUAUACUAGAGUAGUUAGUUGACCUAGUUGGACUUCAAUAUUUUAGAUCGAUGCUUGGUCACUUCGUAGCAAGGCUUGUUGUUCCUUCAUGAUAUUCCGAUGUUCCCUUAUCACUGCAUCUUUUUCAUCGUACCUUUUCUUGGAAACCUCCAUAAAUCUAUGUAACAUAGAUUCAAGAUCAACUUUUUUCUCGGGAGGUGGUUGUUCUUUUUCGUAGAAGCCUCGGUCAAUCUGUCUAUACUUCUCUUCUUUUUGCUUCUUGUAUUUGUUAUAUGGUAACCACUCCCUUUUUGGUUUCCUCCAAUUUUCAACAUACUAGUCUCCACUUGAGUAGCAAACUUGUGCCUUUUUAUUUCCAAGUUCAUCCAAGUGGCUAUCUUUUAUUAAGUGUGGAUCAUUGCACCUUUCACAACCAACUCUAAUUGCAUGAAUUGAUUGGUCCAUUUUGGUCAUUCUUCUAUCCAUGGUAUCAAGCAUGGCUAGUACAGUAGCUAUGUCUUCAGAAUUUACUCCCCUAAUUCCUUUGGCUUCGUCAUGUAUUGGAUUAUGGUAUUCACGAGAAUGCUUUGAGAAUUCUUCAAUCAACUCCUUUACUUCACCCAAAUUUUUCUUAGUAAGUGGUCCUUGAGAAUCAAGGAGUUGCCUUGUCAUGACAUUCACCCCGUCAUAAAAGAUACACUUCUUGUUGUAUGUUAAGGUCAUUUUGAAGGCAGAUUCUAAUAACCCUUUAUAACGCUCCCAUUCCACAUAAAGUGACUCAUGCAUUUUUGCCCAACUAGUAAUUGCACUGGGUGGAAGUGCUUUCAACCAGUCUCUCGUAGCUCCUUUAAAAGUAAUGGGAAACAUCCUUAACAGCGUAGUCUCUCUUCGAACAUUCGGGACAUUGAAAUAAUCCGCAAUGUCUUUGACUUCAUCUAAAUGCUUAUAAGCAUCCACAAGGUUCUGCCCAUAAAAUGGUACAUCCUUAAGUGUAGUAAGAAUGCGCCCUUUCAUCUCGAAUGUUGCAAUGGUAGGAAGUAUAGCUUAUACUAAACCAGGACCAACAUCGUCUCUUAUAUGUUGUUUGUAUGCCCCCGUGGAGAUAUCCGCAAUGUUUGCCAUUUUGUUUUAUGUCUCGUCUCCGUGUUCGCUUUUCUGUAAUUCGAAUUCAGGUUCGGACUCGUAUUCGGAUUCUUGUGGACUAGGUAUUUGAUGAUGAUCUUCAAUUUUACUUUUGUCCUUCGAAGAUGUACUUAACUCUCCCACGUUCUUCACUUUCUUCUUUCCAAAUACUGAUUUAAGGUCGUUAAAUGGUAAGCUCUUUAGUGGUUGGUAUUUCUUCAUGUUUUUAUAUGUCUUUUUGUGAAGGGCCAACUCUUGAUCUUUAAGUGGUGGUACCAAAGGCUUGUUGGAGCCUUUGGUCAUGAACUACUGCAAAAUAAACAAAAAUAAAAACAUAAAUCUGAACAAAAACUAAAAAUUAAAAAUACUAAAAAUAUCAUCCUAAUUGAACCCAUGUCAUGUACUUAAGGUCCACGUCGUGGUCUUAGAUUUGAAACAAAAAUUAAUGCAUAAAAUUAACUUUUUGCAGGUUUUACCCCACAAAAAGGGUCGAUUAACUUAAAGCAAAUAAAUUAGUGUUGGGCUUAUAAUGUUGCGUCAUGGGCUUGGUCCUUAGCCCAGUUUUGGUUGUCGGUUUGGGCCUGUCCAACCGUGCAUGUUUUUCUUCUAGGGUUUUAGUAUUUAAGGUGCAUGCAUGCAUCUUUAUUAGUAACACUUUGAUUAUUUUUCUCUCAUAAGUAUUGUAAACCCCAGCUCGCCUCUAUAGUGGAAGUUCUUCAUCGAGCUCUGCUGAGGCGUGACUAUAUUUGAAUCAUAAGCCUUGCUUUGAUUCUAUUCUAUGUUUUUAAUCCUAUUGUGUUUGUUUUGUUUGUUCAUCGUCUUUAUACCUGUGGAAGAUCUAAACGAUCUGAGUUUUAUUCUCAUCAAUUGGUAUCAGAGCAGGAGGUUGUGUAAUUCAUACACAUUUCUUCUGUUGAAGAAGUAAUUAGGGUUUUUCCGCAUUGAUUGAUAUUAAUUGAGCCGUCAUUCCAUAUUGGCGAUCUCAUUAAUUGUCGAUCUUAUUCUAAUGAAAAAUUACAAGUUUGAUCUUAAAUAGGUAAUCGAUCAAACAUCAUCACAAUGUCCAUGGAUGAUUCACAAACAAAUCCAAUCAACAUCUCCAACAACAUUGGUUCGACAACAAGGAUUCCAGUCUUGUAUACUCAGGACUAUGAACUUUGGACGCACCACUUUGAAGAUUAUGUGAUCGGCUUAGAAGAUAAUGGGUACUUGAUCUAGGUACCUAUCACAGUUGGCCCGUUUGCUCACUCAAGCACCUAAAAUAUUGUCAAAACUCAAAAGGAGUACAAUCAGCUUGUGAAUGAUGUGAAAGAUAUUCCUCAAGACGAGAAGGAGAAGUUUCAAUGCAACAUCAAGGCCUUAAGAAUAAUUAGGUUUGCUUUGCAGUCAGAUACGUUUCGUUUGGUGAGUUAUUGCACUACAGCUAAAGAGAUAUGGGACAGGUUGAAAGAAUUGUAUUCCACUGAGGAAGAUCUGGAACAUUCUAUUCAGACCCAAAGAGAAACUUGUUCAGGCUUUUGAUCAGUUCAAUCAUCUUUUAAGUAAGGUGAUAAUACAUGGGAUCGAAAGGAAGGUUAUAGAACAGAAUGUUACCUUCAUGAAUGGUCUUAGACCCGAAUGGAUGGCAGUCGUAUCCUUAGUAAAUGCACACAAAUAGUUUAAAUCAUACUCUCUAGCAAAACUGGUUGGAAUCCUGAAGUCCCAUGAAAGUGCUCUGUAAAAAGAAGCAAACGUGGAUUCUAGUUUAGGUUCAUUAGCCCUUGUUUCAAAUGGGAAAAGUGUUGUCGAAGAAGAAGAUGAAUUGGAUCUUGCUGACUACGAUCUAACCGUUGAAGAAUAUGCCCUAAUGGUUUCCAACCCUAGAAAGUUCAUCAAAAUAAAAUUCCCAGCCAACAAGAACCGAAACUAGUAAGGAAGUUACAGUUCUGAAAAGGUGAAUGAGGAAUCGAAGAUAGGAUCCAAGUCAGGGGAAUCCAUGAAAGAGGCGAAGAUCAGUGGCGUCUCACGAUUUGAUUGUCACUAUUGUGGAGGCAAAAAUCAUUUUGCCAAGGAUUGUAUGUUGAAGAAACAGGCAUAAAAGAUAGACGAGGAUGAUGAGGAAGAGAGCCUCCUGAGAUGGUUGGAGGAAAUCAAGAAAUGAAAAUCAUCAGCUAACAAUAAAACCAUGAAUGCUUUCAUUGUACAGGAUACAAGUAACAAUGAUGAAUUCGGUGGAGUGGAAGUGUGGUCCACGGAUUCAGAGGACGAAGAAGUAAGAAAACCAACUCAUGGAAAGGCGAUGCUAGUGAAAGAAGAAUAUACUGCAGGAAGGUGUUUGAUGGUGGUAGAAGGAGUAUCUCAGAUGAGGGGAUAUGCAACAGAUGGUAGGCUGGAAGAAGAGAAGGAGCGAGAGGACAGGUCUUUUGCUGCGAAAACUAUCAGUGCACAGAUCAACGAAUGUGAUGAGUUGAUCAAGAAGCUACAAAAUAUUCUCACUUCUCUGAAAAUACCUAUUACUAACUAUGGAAAGGAACUGAAUAGCUUAAAAUCAAAAAUUUCUAGUGUAAGUAGUAGUCUCACCCAAACUUGUGUCACAAACUCUAACCUGACUGAUCAAAUUAGCAAGAUAUCGUCGAAGAGUGAGGAAAGGAGGAUGUGGAUUGAGUAGAAGGAGAAAGAGUUAAUUAGAUCUAAGGAUAAAUCUAUCUAUUUACAACGAGACAAUCUUAAGCUUCUAAAACAGCAAAAUGUUUUUUGUUUAAUUGCUAAGAGACUUUAUUUUAAUAUCGCUCAAUUGCAUCUCAAUUGUGAAAUAGGAAAGAAGAUACAUUGCAUGAUUUUACCCUUCCUUGAGUUAAAAUAGGAUGAAGUCGAUGCCGAAGCUUACAACUGUGAAAAUGUUGUAUCUUCUGAUGAAGUCUCUCCUGCCUACAAAAUUGGUCUUGACAAAAUAGAGUCCUAUAUAAAGACCAAAGACCAUAAAGACAUUCUUAGAAUCUAUUAGACGAAAAUGAGAGAUUGAAGUUAAGAACCGAAACUGUACAGAAGUUUGACUCAUUGAAUGCCAAACUAAGUUCAAAAAAUAAAAUUGAUGUUGAAAAUGCAUCUGAACUUACUGAGGAUGAAGAUAUGAGUGAAAUCUCUGUAGAGGAUGUGAUGGACUGCUCUGAGUUUGUCAAAAGCGAACCCGAAACUCACAAAAAUUUGACUUCUGAAAACUCCAUUGAGUUCCCCCAUUCAUCGAAAGACAAGACCAAAAUUCUCAAGGCAAAGGUUGUUGUGUAUCAAAAGGUUCAAACCACUCCCAAUGAGGUUUACACAGUUCAAGGAGUCACUCCUCAACAGACAGCAGAACUGACAACUAUGGUAGAAGAAGAUACCGUAGUUGGAUGUGAAGAAUUCUUCUGGUCAGCACCCAUAGAUAACGCUAAUGAAACAAAAGGACUAUCUCAGAAAACCUCAUGGAGAGUGAAGGGUAGGUACGUGCUAAAACCACUCAAUGAACCUGCAAGAUAUAAUGUGCCAAGCACAAGUGGAACCAAAACAUCUAUAGGUAAACCAGUGAGUGAGACAUCUUCAUCAAUGAGCGAAUGCCAUGCUCAAAUUCCAAAGAAAAAGGCAAACAUUCAUAAAAAUCCAAAACACGUGGCAGAAUGAAAACACCAACGAAAUCUAAGAUACAAUAAGAAUCUCUCAGAAAGAAAACAGUUUUGGAGAUCUCAAAAUCCUUAUUAUGUCAGGAAUGAAAAACGCAUAAGUCUCGAGAAGAAUCAAGAAGAAACCGACAGGAAGGUUUCGUUCCUUGGAAUGAAAGGUACCGAAAGGAAAGUUUCGGUUCGCAGCAGGUAAGGAACUGAAAGGAAGGUUUCCGUCCACUGUAGGUAAGGAAUUGAAAGGAAGGUUUCUGUCCGACGCAAACAAACAACCGAAAGGAGAGCUUCGGUCCUCAGAGAGUAGGCAACCGAAAGGAUGGGUUCGGAUCGAUGAUUGUUAUUCUCAAAUAAGAAAGAAUAACAAUCAUCCAUCCAAUGUAACUUCUAAACCCAACUCUUCUCAUUUUAAUUCUUAUCCUUCAAAAGAUUUAAAGGGGAAAGGAAAGCUCCUUCUAGAAGAUAACAGAUGCGCAAAAGAGAUCAAAAAGAAUGCAGACGUCAAAACCUCAAACCCUACGUAUAAUGAAUCUAAGCCAAACAAAAUUAAAGUUUUCACGAUAAAAAGAAAAGAUGAAACAACUUUAAUUAAAAGAAAUUAUUUGGUUGAUAUUUCUCUUGCUAUUCCCUGUCCUGUAAAAGGCUCACAAGGACCCAAGAAACUUUGGGUUCCUAAAUCUGCUUAAUAUUUUGCAGGAUAUUCGUGAUGAGAAGUUUGACAAAGAAUGGUAUAUUGAUAGUGGUUGCUCGCGUCACAUGACAGGAAGAAAGGAAGAACUGAGGGAGUUUCAAUCUCUCAAGAAUGUUGGAAUCGUGAAGUACGGCAACAACUCGUUUGGGACUAUCAAAGGCUACGGAAUGAUUACGAAUGGUGAUUUCUCAAUAAGAAAGGUCGCAUACGUUGAAGGAUUGCAGCACAACCUUAUCAGUGUAUCCCAGCUUGUGGUUGGGACCGGAUUGAAAGUCUCGUUUGAUGAUGAAGGCUCGGAGAUUGUUGAGAAGAAGUCAAAUAACAUUCUGUUCAAAUUGAAGCGAAAAGGGGAAAUGUACCCUUUAAACCUCAAUCGAAUUCGAGGGAAACUAGCAGUCUGUUUGCUAACAAAGGCCCACUCAGACGAAAGUUGGCUAUGGCAUCGAAGACUCUCUGAUCUUAACUUCGAGGAUAUCAACAAGCUUGUUUUGGGAGUUCAUGUUUGAGGUCCUCUAGUUCUUAAAUUCGACAAAGAACAUUUAUGCACAGCCUGUAAAAUGGGAAAGCAGAGUAGACAAAGUCAUCCCUCUAUUAUCAAUACAAAGGUGAUAGAACCAUUGGAGCUAUUUCAUAUCGAUCUGUGUGGCCCCUCCUAUAUUGAAAGUAUUGGUGGGAACAAGUAUAUUCUUAUCAUAAUGGACGACUUCUCUCGGUUCACAUGGGUGUUUUUCUGGAAGCAAAAUUCAGAAGCUACUCCUAAGUUCAAGCUCUUCAUAAAGCAAGUUGAGGUUCAACUGAGGAAAGUUGUUCGUAACGUAAGAAGUGACAAUGGCUUGGAAUUAAAGAACAAAGAUUUCAAAGAUUUUCUUGUUGAGAUGGGAAUGACUCAUAAUUUCUCAGCUCCAUAUACUCCACAGCAGAAUGGAAUCAUGGAAAGGUGAAAUCUAUCUCUAUGUGAGGCAGCUCGAACGAUGUUAUGCUUCGCUUCCUUGCCUUUAUAUUUUUGGGCUGAUGCUAUUGCUGCUGCUUGUUAUACUAAGAACAAAUCAUAUCUAAACAAGCGAUUCUCUAUCACUCCUUACGAGAUCUUGAACAAUCGCAAACCGAAUGUGAAAUUUUUUCAUGUGUUUGGUUCAAGAUGCUUCGUCUUCAACUCUAAAGUGAAUCGAAACAAGUUUGAUGCUAAGGCUGAUGAAGGAAUAUUUUUAGGUUACUCCCUGCACUCUAAGGCAUAUAGAGCUCUAAACAAGCGCUCUAAGAAGAUUCAAGAAACAUACUAUGUCACUUUUGACGAUAGCUAUGUUAAUAAGAUGAAGACAACUGAAGGUGAAAUGCAGGAAAUCUUUCCAAAGACCAGUCAAGUUACAACUUCUAUCUCAAAUCUUUUCGAGCAAUAUAUGGUUCUUUUUGAUGAGCCUCAAAUGGCAAUCGAUUCUAAAUCGAAGGCGAAAGACAACAAAGUUGAUAGUCUAAACCAAAUCAUUAACGAUGUUGCACAGAAGAUGGCUGCUGAUCAACCUAAAGCAACCAAGAGGCCAGACUUAAACGAACCUUCAAAUGACCGUCCUUCUGUCCAGGGGAGGGUUCGUCUCUGCCAAAAGAUCAAGGUCCUUUAUUCCAGGGGGAGAAUUCAAUGUCACAAUCAUCAAUCUAAACUGAAAGUCCAAACAAAGGGGAACAUUCUGAUCCAGAUACUAAACUGGUGUCAUCAUUCGAGGGGGAGAACACACACGUUAAUGAUCAUGACAUGCUAUCAGAAUUGGAAGAAGAAAUUAAUGCAGAACUGGAACCCUCUUGUGAUCCAAAUUACCCACCACUUAUUAAAUGGACCAAAGAUCAUCCGCAAAGUCAAAUCAUUAGGGAAUCUUCGGAAAAUGUGUUAACUCGAUUACAGAUCAAAGCAAAACAAGUUGCACUCUUCUCUCAAGUAGAAUUUUGCAUGUUCAAAUCCUUUGUCUCGAUAGUUGAAUCGAAGACUAUGAAUUCGGCUCUUGAUCAUUCUGAUUGGGUUCAAGCCAUGCAAGAUGAGUUGAAUGAGUUUGAAAGAAACAAAGUAUGGCGCCUUAUUUCAACACCAAAGUAUGCUUUAGUUGUAGGUCUCAAAUGGGUAUUUAGAAAUAAGAUGGAUAAGGAGGGGAAUGUGAUUCGUAACAAGGCUCGGUUGGAUGUAAAAGGAAAUUGUCAAGAAGAAGGUAUCGAUUAUGAAGAGACCUUUGCUCCUGUUGCAAGAUUAGAGUCCAUUCGUAUCUUUCUUGCUUAUGCUGCACACAAAAACUUUGAAGUCUAUCAGAUCGACAUAAAGUGUGCCUUUCUCAACAGAGUACUUGAAGAAACUGUGUACGUUGAGCAACCGCCAGGCUUCGUCAACGAGAAGUACCCAAAUCACUAUUACAUACUUGACAAAGCGGUAUAUGGCUUAAAUCAGGCUCCUAGAGCAUGGUAUGAAACUCUCACUCAAUUCUUAAAAAUUUCUAAAUUUAAACAAGGUUCGGUUGACCCAACCUUCUUUCGUAAGAUAGAGGGUAACCACCUUAUGAUAGUCCAAAUUUAUGUUGAUUACAUCAUCUUCGGCUCCACGAAUCCCAGCUUAACAGCUAAAUUCAGGAAGUUGAUGGAAACUAAAUUUAAGAUGAGCUCAAUGGGUCCAAUUAACUUUUUCCUUGACUUAAACAUUAGACAGGGACCCGAAGGCAUUUUUAACAAUCAGGAGGCAUACACCAAGACACUGCUUGCUAAGUUUGGCAUGUUGGGAGACUCCAAAGUGAAAGUUCCAAUGGCUUUUGGGACAAAUCUUACAUCUUUGUUGGAGAAGCCAGCCGCUGACAUAACGCUCUAUCGACAAAUGAUUGGGUCAUUAAUGUAUCUAACAGCAAGCAGACCUGACAUCAUGUUCUCAGUCUGCUACUGUGCUAGAUUCCAGGCUAACACACGCAAACCUCACAUGCUAGCCGUGAGAAUAUUUUUUUGCUAGCUGAAGCGAACCUCCUCUCUCGGUCUAUGGUAUCCAGCAAACUCAUGAUUCUUUGUCCAACCCUUCUCUAAUGCUGACUUAGGUGGUUGUGGAUUGGAUCGCAAAAGCACCACUAGAGGAUGCCAAUUUCUCAAUGGAAAAUUGGUCAGCUGGCAAUCAAAGAAAGAAACCUGUGUUUCUCUCUCCACUGCAGAAGCUGAAUACAUUGCUGACGCUUCAUACACAUCACAAGUUGUAUGCAUACAGAGUCAAAUUAGAGAUUAUGGGCUAAACAUGAAGAAAAUCCCACUAUAUUGCGACUCUGAAAGUGCAAUUAGGAUUUGUCAUAACCUGGUGCAACACUCAAAGACAAAGCCCAUAGCACUGAGGUAUCACUUCAUCAAAGAUCAUGUGGAAGAUGGCAACGUAGAAAUUCACUUCGUUAGGACGACUGAUCAACUGGAAGAUAUAUUCACCAAGGCUUUACCUGAAGCAAGUUUCAACAAAAUUUUACAAGGCCUAGGAAUGAUGGAAGCAGAAUCAGUACCAAAGUCACCUUCGCUUCAAUAAAGGUAUGAAGAGAAAUAGAGCGAACCAAAAUGAACCGAACGCUCGGUCUAUUUCGGGUUCAGUUCAACCAAGAACCGAAAUGAACCGAACGCUCGGUCUAUUUCGGGUUCGGCUGUACUGAACUCGUUCGUUUGUUUUUCAUCACAAGGCAUUUUAAGUGUAUUCACUUGUACAUUUUUUUUAAAUACUCUUUUAUGCUUCUUUUAUUUUUUUUACAUAAAAUCCAAAAAUAUUUUUUUAAUUUUAUUUAAAAUUUUCACAAACUACAAAAAUAUCAUUUAUUUUAUUUUAUUUUCAUCUAUUGUUUUUUUAUAAGUGUUAUUCUCGAUGUUGAAGCUCAAGUAGGUAUAUUCUCUUUUCUAUAAAUUAGUUAGGUGUCCUAGAAGCAUGUUGCUGCAUGUUGACUAAAGCCUCUACAGAUUUUGAGUGAAGCCUUAAUAACAUGAUAUAUACAAAUCAUGUUUUCCCAAACUAGGCUAUUACUUUCACUCUAAUCAUGAGCUACCUUAGUCUUCCCAAAUUGAGCUUAGAGUUUUCUACUUGGUCCUUCUUUUAUAGCAGAUGUACAUUUGCUUCUUAUACCACCUACAACAUUUUUCUUCAUCUCACUUCAUCUCACUCAUUUAACCCUUGAGACUCUCAGCAUUUACCACUGAGUUUUAUGGUUAUACAAAAUUCUGUGUUAAUGAGCUUAGUUUUGUGUCACUACGUACUAAGUGAAACCCACAAUUCAACACCUUUAAUGAAUUGACGGUAUACGAUCACUAUGCUACAAUUCUUGAAUGAAAUCAAUUAUUUUAGUGAUCCUCCUGAAAAUGUCUUUUACCAAGACUUUUCUUCCCCAAGGAUCUACUUAAGUUCUUUUUAAGAUUUCAUAUUUGUCAACAAGUCACUGAAAAUUUUACCUACCUACUUGUUUAACAGGCCACAUUGGUCUCACAAGUACUUCCUUCAGUUUCAGCCUUAUAUCGAGUAUCAAAAUCAUGAAUUGAAGCGAAAAGCCACCCUUUAUAGCCCUAAUUAAAAAGAUGCCUUUCAAUACUUCUUAAAAAGUACUUGAUCGUUAUUUUAUCGGAAGCCACACAAGCACUUUGAAGUCUCUCUAGACUAUGAAGGAAGAGAUUUGUGCCCAGAAUCAAUUGUUUUAUGUCUUUCCAAGACAUCACAAAUUAUUAGAAAAGGUUUGCUUUAUUUCUUUAUCAUUCACACUCUAUGCAUGAAAAUCUUUGAUUUUCCAAAAUCUGGUUCUAUUAACGAUGAUAUAAUUGUUACAGCUUCGUUUCUAAAGUAUUCCACUGCUCGAUAAAGACAAAGGCGGUGACGAUUUAUGUGAAAUUUGUGGGUGACGUUUGGGAUAAAGUUCAGGCUGAGUCAGCAGUAAUCCAAUCGUUUUAAUGAUUUGAAAAAGGCACUUUUUAUGGAAAGGCAUGUAAAAAGGAAACGUUCUUUCUCUUUCCUAUAUCAUCAUUGGGCAUGCCAACUGUCCACUCCGUCAUCAUGCACGGUUUUCAAAUUAAUCCAAGAUAUCAGCCGGAUUUUUCUCUCUACUACUUGUAUGUAUAAAAGUUUUGGCACGCUCCACUUUACUCUUUUAUCACUUACAAAUUCUCUCAAAGAAAAAGGGUGAUUUCUUUCAUUGUUCACCUUCUUCCUCUCAAAGCUUCAACAAUGGCAGAAUCCUCUUCAGUUCAAGACACAUAUGUUCACUCCAACCUUCUCACCAUCAAACCUCAACAAAACCUCAUCAUAGACCUUACUCCCUUCAUCUAUGAACCCUACAUGUUGUAUUUCGUCGAAUGUCUCAAGUACUCGCCUCUUGUCGACGCUCUGUCAAAGGUCGAAGGCGUUCCCAUGUCCUGCCUCUCACACAUCUAUUCAACUUCUUACUACGACAAGGUUGCUGAGAGGAUUCACUUUGAAACGGGUGGAGGGAUAGCGACCGCAAAAGUCGAUAAACUAAUUUCUGAGGCUCGUCUCUUUUUAGAUUCUUUGCAAGAUGCUGCUCAAAAGAACUCUCAGACAGUGAACGCUUCAGUUGAUAAUCUUCAGCGUUCUCUUCAAGCUGAGAGAUCUAAUCUUGAAGCCGCUUGUGACAUCCCCAAAAUCUCGGCCAGAAAAGACUGAUUUUCAUUUAUGCUUUUAAAUAUUUUCAGAGUAAAUCCUUUUGAUUUGAAAGAGUUGCGGAAUUUGUUCCCAAAAACAAAACAUGAUAAAACAAUGUUUACCGAAGCAUUUCAUAAAAGAAAUGUAUUUUCAUUAUAAUCAAAACUCGGGGUGUCAUGUUCCGAUACAGACCAAUAAGAAUAAACGAAUACAUUACAAGUCAUAUAACAAAUAUAAACAUAUGCAGACUUGUAAACAAAACAACUUGAUGGUUCAUCCAUCUCAUGCCCUUCCGCCACUACCUGUAAUACAAUUUAAAACUGAGUGGGUCAGGCUUGGGAGCCUGGUGAGCAUAUAGGGUUUUCAACCCACAAUAAAUAUCAUAUUUAAUUUUCACCAACCAACAAUAACCCAAUUACCCAUUCCCGUUAUUCUCACUUUAAGGUCCCUAAUUCAACUAACAUAAGGGACCUAGUCUAAGAAUAUUUCAUCGGGGCGACAACACAUGCUUCGGGGGUACCUCAGCAAUAUAAGUCAAAUAAGGCAACCAUGAGGGGGAUGGAGUACAGCGAAUGAACACCCAAGUUCAUUAACACCUACAGGUGGCGAACCUGCUAAUGUUUCCACAAGACUGUCUAGAAUAGCCAGUGGUCGUCAUCUAAACUCCGCUAGAUGACUCAAUCAAACAACAACGAGGCCUCUCAUCUGUUUAUUACACACCAACUGUCUACCCAUGUUCUACCCAACAUAUUAGUAGAUAAAAAUAUACAUUUGUAUACAUAGUUUAAAGAAAACCUGUAUAGCAUGCUUUAAUCAACACAUAUAUCACAUAACAGAUGAGGCACACACACACAUAACACAUAUCUCAUAAAGAAAUAAGCAGAUCUAUAAGAUAGAAGAGAGUGAAUACUCAUUCACACAUAACACAACCAAAUAUAUACACAUAGCACGUAUUUUUAUAUAAAAUACUUCGUAUUAUUGUAUUAGAAGAAAUAACUACACACUCACUUGAUCAGAAGAUGAUCGGACAGCACUACGGCUUAUAGAAGUAGUAAUCCACAGCAGAUCUGGAAGAUCUUCUCGAAAAUCGAACUUCUCGCGGGCAGAGCUUCGACUCGGGAACCGCACUUUUCGGGAUCUUCGGGAUCUCGGGACUUGCCUCGGGGCUAGAGUAUGAUACCGGGNNNNNNNNNNNNNNNNNNNNNNNNNNNNNNNNNNNNNNNNNNNNNNNNNNNNNNNNNNNNNNNNNNNNNNNNNNNNNNNNNNNNNNNNNNNNNNNNNNNNNNNNNNNNNNNNNNNNNNNNNNNNNNNNNNNNNNNNNNNNNNNNNNNNNNNNNNNNNNNNNNNNNNNNNNNNNNNNNNNNNNNNNNNNNNNNNNNNNNNNNNNNNNNNNNNNNNNNNNNNNNNNNNNNNNNNNNNNNNNNNNNNNNNNNNNNNNNNNNNNNNNNNNNNNNNNNNNNNNNNNNNNNNNNNNNNNNNNNNNNNNNNNNNNNNNNNNNNNNNNNNNNNNNNNNNNNNNNNNNNNNNNNNNNNNNNNNNNNNNNNNNNNNNNNNNNNNNNNNNNNNNNNNNNNNNNNNNNNNNNNNNNNNNNNNNNNNNNNNNNNNNNNNNNNNNNNNNNNNNNNNNNNNNNNNNNNNNNNNNNNNNNNNNNNNNNNNNNNNNNNNNNNNNNNNNNNNNNNNNNNNNNNNNNNNNNNNNNNNNNNNNNNNNNNNNNNNNNNNNNNNNNNNNNNNNNNNNNNNNNNNNNNNNNNNNNNNNNNNNNNNNNNNNNNNNNNNNNNNNNNNNNNNNNNNNNNNNNNNNNNNNNNNNNNNNNNNNNNNNNNNNNNNNNNNNNNNNNNNNNNNNNNNNNNNNNNNNNNNNNCAUUCCUUAUAUCUCCGGAAUCCUUGUUUCGACCACUACAACUUUAUGAAAAGAUAUCGGGCUUAUCUCACACUUUAAUUUUGACGCUUAUUUUUAUUCUUAAUUAAUCAAACCACAUAAUUAAGCAAUUAAGCACAAAACACAUAAUACUCAAAUAAUAAAAUCUUAUUAUUUCAAAACGGGUUACAAAGGUUAACUUAGACUAUUACAUUGCUAAAAAUGGCAAGCCCGGAAACACAGGCGUUACACCGCUCAUCAGGCCAUUGAAGCUGCCAAUGCCACCCUCCACGAUAAUGUCAAUGAUCGUCUGACUCAACUAGAAGCAGAUUUGGAUGUCAAAAAUCGCAUCAUGGAUGAGUUGGACAAACAAACAUCUCAGCUUAAAAUGCAAAACCUCAAGUUUCGCACUGCAACAACCGAGCUCAAUGACUUAAAGUCUGAAAGGGAGGUAAUUCGAAGCUUUGUUGGUGACGUUCAUUCGAUUUUACUUCAUCUUCUCGAUGCCCAUGAUCUCAUUCUGACCAUCACCAUCAGACGACAUUUGGCUGAAAAUCUAGGACCUGCAUUGCACAUCCUUAGUCGCAUUGAGAGUGUUCUGGUGACUGAUGUGCAGCCGAAACAAGGGGGAGAUAAGGUAAAGGCGAAAACUCAACCUCCUCCUAAACCUAAGUCAUCCACUGAACCGAAGGUUAAUGAAGCUUCGGUCAGUAAAAGAGAUAAGAAGAAAAAGAAGAUUGGUGAAGACGGCACUGAUGAUGAAGAUGGUGUUUUUGAAGAAAAUCCUGCUAAGCCAUUUCAGAAAACAAAAUCUUCUGAUAAAGAUCUUGAAGAAAAUUUCAAGAACCAAACGGAUGAGCUAGGGAAGUAGAGGAAAUAAAAGGAGCUCUUGGAGAAGAAGAAGUAUAUUUUUCCAAAAUUGAGUAUUGACUCGCUUCAAAGAAGCGCUAUAGACGAACCAAGCACACAUUGGCUCGAGCCUGUUAUGUCGUUAGGGCUUGAGAACUCAAAGGAUGAGUAGUUUGAUUUGUGAAUCACACGAAAGGCAUUCAUCUUUCACUGCUUCAACUCAACUGUUGCCAUCCCAUCUCCAGACUUGAAGGUGGAUCGGGAUUUGUAAGAGUUCUAUCUGGAGUUUGCUCAGCCCCAGUACUUGACUUGGAGUUCGCAGAAGAUCACAACUGUCAAGGUACUAAAGCCCUAUACAGCAGGGAAGUUUGUUAACGUGAAAUUUAAAUUGACUCGAGGCUCUGAAGGCUUGGUUCAUAAUUUCUCUCUUGCUGAUCUACCAAACCUCAACCCCCACGACUGGAUACUCCUCAACAACAUCUUACUGUCAAAUCCUCAGGAGUAUCAGCCUAUCAUUGACCAUAUCAAGCGAAUGCUUGUCUACUACAUUCACGAAGUAGCAAAGAUGGAUCAAGAAAUCGCCUCAGCAAUUCACAAGCGAACCACGAUCAAACCAAUGAGAAGAGCUGGCGAUAUUAACUCAAUGGUCAAAGGCAAGAUUGACACAAACUACCACAUUGUGAUGUUUAUCAGGGGCGAAGGUCAAAAAUGCAUGUUCGCUCUUAUUGAUAAGCACCUGUUCUCAACCUCUUGCUUGGAGCACAUUUUGGAAAUCAUUCAGAGGUGUAUUCAGAACUCAGCAGCCGACAAGAAGAUGUUUAGUGAUAUGCUAAGAUGGUACAUUCAAUUUUGGCAGACUCUUCUUGCAAUCAUCCCUCGGCUGUUCAAGGUGGUGAAGACUAUGAAGCCUAUUGAAAGGAAAUGAUCUCUCGCCUCAUUUGACGCAAAGGGGGAGAUUGUUGGGCUUAUAGUGUUGCGUCAUGGGCUCAGUCCUUAGCCGAGUUUUGGUUGCCGGUUUGGGCCUGUCCAACCGUGCAUGUUUUUCUUCUAGGGUUUUAGUAUUUAAGGUGCAUGCAUGCAUCUUUAUUAGUAACGCUUUGAUUAUUUUUCUCUCACAAGUAUUGUUAACCCUAUCUCGCCUCUACAGUGGAAGUUCUUCAUCGAGCUCUAAUGCGGCGUGACUAUAUUUGAAUCAUAAGCCUUACUUCGAUUCUAUUUUGUGUUCUUAAUCCUAUUGUGUUUGUUUUGUUGGUUCAUCGUCUUUAUACCUGUGGAAGAUCUAAACGAUCUGAGUUUUAUUCUCAUCAAUUAACAAUCAAAUAAGUCGUUCCCCAAAAACGACGCCAAAAACUUGAUGCGUACAAAUAGCUAAAACCUAAUUUUACCAACUCUCCUACUACCUAUUCGAGUCAGGGCAGUGUACCACUCGCAAAUAGUAUAGCAUAAAAGUCGGGUAUCGAACACAUGGAACGUAAUAAAUUAUUUAACCUACUUACUAUUAAAUUAAUCUAAAAUUGUAACAAAAAUAAAAUGGGUUUUUAUAUAAUUUUGCAAGUUUAGAUGAACUUAAUUUAUCAACAACUAUUUAUUGAAAUUAUAAAAACACUUUUGUUAGUUUGAAUCCACUUUCCCUCAAUUGUUUAAAUAUUAAUUACGACAAUUCCCGUUGGUUACCAAUUAAUAUAUUAUUAGCAAUUCAAUUCCAAAUAUACUAAUAUUCAAUUAAUUCAUGUUGAGCUAUGCAUGGUCACACAUAAUUUAACAUAGAACCAAUUAUUAAAUAAGAUUGGAGCUACGUAAGAUUAAGUUAACAAAUACAGUUGUGGUCCGAAUAUGAGUUCUCCAACACAGUCAAAUUCAAUACUUCAAUUGCUUAUCUAAGAUUGGUUCGACCUUAGCUCUAAUAAUCUGAUGCUCACUAAAUUACUAGGUAGUCAAAUUCAUGCAGAUUCGUGGUCAUUAAAGUAAAAAAGAAUAUGAAUUAACGCAAUCUAGUAUAAAAUUGAGCAUGCUAGGUAUAAACAAUAAAACACAAGACAUUAACCUACUAGAAAAGUCUAAGUUAUUAUAAACAAACCAUGAAUUCCAAAUUCAUCUAACUAACACAAGCAGCUAGAUUUAGCUACUCAUCAAAGCAAUCACACUAACAAACUUCAUAGUUAAAGACAUAGUAAUAUACCAAACAAUCAAUAAACUAUGAUCUCCUUAUUCUUCCUUGGUUGAAAUUCUGGGUUUUCAGGCUUGUAAUCCUCUAAGAAAUGACUUUUGAAACUCUAUUCUUCCCAAAAACCAACCUUUAAACCUGUAAGUGUUAAAUAUACAUACAUACAUAUAUAUAUAUAUAUAUAUAUAUAUACUUGUCAUAAAAUUACAUUCCACGUCGUGGAAUAAGGCCACACAUUAUGGACUUAGAUGAAUCCUUAUCGGGCAAGGAUUUCGACAUAGUGCGUAUUCAUCUUCCAGAAUUUUCCUAUCCACAUCGUGUAAGUAAUAUCCACGACAUGGAUACAACUGUUUUCAUGGGUUUUCUUCUCUUUAGUUUUCCAAGCCUCCAAAGUUUCUUCUUUGCCACUUUGAGUCCUUAUUCUUCAAAUUGACUUAUUUUGGCUGCAAAAUACAAUCUAAUCUUAGAAGUACCAUUAUUCCAUGCAAAUAACCAAAAUAUGUAUAAAAUUGUAUUCAAAUAUUGCAUAAAAGUAUGUAUAAAUACGGCAAUAUCACGUCGAUCUAAGGGUUAAGGGCGGUUUUGAUGUAGAGGAAGCAUGUGAUCGUGUACGCCUCGAGGCAGUUGAAGCCUCAUGAGGCGAGUUACCCUACUCAUGACGUAGAACCGGGGGUGGUGGUGUUUGCCCUCAAAAUCUGGAGGCAUUACUUGUACGGAGUUCAGUGCACCAUCUUUACUGAUCAUAAAAAGUCUGAAGUAUUUGAUGGAUCAGCAGAACCUUAACAUGCGAUAGAGGAGAUGGUUGGACGUCCUAAAGGACUAUGAUUAUGAGAUUUUGUAGCAUCUAUGGAAUGCCAAUGUGGUGGCCGAUGCUUUAAACCGCAAGGCGGCGGGUUCUCUAAUCGGGAAUGUUUGUUUGAGAAUGACGGUAGUCUUUCCACUGUUGGAUAUGAUUAAGAAGGCUCAAGUGGAGGGUUUGAAGAAAGAGAAUUAGAAGAUAGAGUGGAUUUGGGGUCAGUUCCCCUUGUGUGUACGUGAUGGUCGGGGACUCUUGACACAGUGUGGUCGGGUAUGUGUACCGGUGACUAGGGGAGUGAGACAGAAGAUAUUAGAGGAGGUGCAUAAGUCUAAGUUCUCUAUAUAUCCAGGGCUACAAAGAUGUACAUGGAUCUGAGGUUGAGCUACUGGUGGCCCUACAUGAAGCCAGAGAUCGCAUGGUUCGUGGAGCGGUGCUUGACAUGCAGGAAGGUCAAGGCCAAAAAUUAAAGGCCUCAUAGCAAGGUUUAUCCGCUACCCACUCCUAUGUGGAAGUGGCAAGAGAUCACCAUGGACUUCAUCAUGAAGUUACCGAGGAUAGGGAGGGGGUGUGGAUUCCAUUUGGUUAAUUAUGGAUAGGUUGACUAAGAGUGCUCAUUUUAUUUUGAUCCCUGAGAGCAUUUCUACUGAGAAAUUAGAAGAUAUUUAUGUGUGAGAGGUAGUGGUCAGGAAUGGGGUGCCAGUGUUGGUGGUCUCUGACCGAGAUGUUUGAUUUACAUCCAUAUUUUCAAGGAAGUUCCAUAAGGAACUGGACACACAGUUACACUUCAGCACUGCAUACUACCCCCAAAUAGACGGUCAGAGCGAGCGGAUGAUCCAGAUGCUCGGGGAUAUGUUGCGGGCAUGCAUAUUGGAUUUUAGAGGGAGUUAGGAUACAUACCUCCCACUAGCAUAAUUUUCAUAUAACAAUAGUUAUCAUGCUAGCAUCGACCGACCCUCGUUUGAGAUGUUGUAUGGUCAGAGGUGCAAGAAUCCCAUCUGUUAGGACGAGGUAGGGUGCCGAGUCAUGGGAAACACCAAAUUGGUGCUCAAGAUUACUGACUUGAUUCAAUAGGUGUGCGACAGGUUGUGAGUCACGCAUAGCCGCCAAAAAAUUUAUGUUGAUCGGCUUCUCUUGGAUCUCGAGUUUUAGAUAAGGGACUUCUUGUUGCUGAAAGUGUCACCAUGGAAGAGUGUCAUUAGGUUUCGGAAUAGGAGUAAGUUAGCAGACCGAUUUAUUGGUCCGUUUAGGAUUACUACCCGGUGGGCAAGGUGACAUACCGUUUGGACCUGUCGGACGAGCUUAGCCAGUUUUACAACACCUUCAAUGUGUCUCAGUUUGGAAGUGUGUCACUGAUGAGACUGGGGUUAUUUCCUUGAGCAACAUUCAAGUGGAUAAGAGCCUGAACUACAUUGAGAGGGACAUUGCAGUUUUGGAUCGGAAAACUAAGGUACUACAUAACAAAAAGGUGAAGCUAGUGAAGGUACAAUGGUAGCACAAGAAAGGCUCGGAAUGGACAUAGGAGUCGGAUGAUGAGAUGUGAUAGCAUUACCCGGACCUUUUCGCGUCAACAUACUUCGAGGACGAAGUCUACUUCAAGUGGGGGAGAUUUUUAAUGCUUGGUCCAUGUAUUGUUUACUUUUCAAUUUGUUUGAGUUUUAGACUGGAACUUGACGAGUUGGCAAGCUCCAACUCUUUGUGUAGGUAUUCUUUUGGACGCGGGUUUAAGGAAUCAACUCGACGAGUUGGGGAUCCCCAACUCAACGAGUAGACUCUACAAAGAAAAACCCUAAAUUUCAGGGCUUGUACCCUAUUUAAAGGCCUUAAGCCUCGUUAGUAGCCUCAUUUAUCGCCCCCAUCAUCCAGAGAAACCCUAGUUCACUCAUUUCCUGUCAUUGUGUGUGUGAGAGAGAGAGCUUGGAGAGUGACUUUUGGUGCUCUUUUGAAAGGAACUUGAAGCUUGAAGAGAUUAGAUUGAGUAGAAGGCAGUAGAUCCGGGAUUUCCUCCAGUGUUGCAGCUACAUUGAGGUAUAAAGUCAAAACCUUGGCCUUUUAUUGCUUAGAUCUUCUUCUAUGAAAGUUUAUGGAUAUUAUUAGCCUAGUUUAGGACUAUUCUUGGAUUUGAGCAUGAUAUGAAGAUUUGGCUUUAGAUCUGGACAUCUCAGGGCCUUUGUGGACUUAAAGUUGCCAACUUUAUCAAGACUUGGCUCUCCUUCAUGCUCUAGGAUCCUUGAUAAGCUUGUUUAAGUGUUUAUGUCCCUUUGAUGCCUUACACGGAUGUAAAGUUAGCAACUUUAUGUGGUAUCUUAACCCUAUGGGACUGGAUCUAUAGUUUGGGGCAUCAGAUUCAACUGAAAAGGGCUGAAUAGGUUAAGACUGGGAAAACUCAAAGAGUUGCCCUGGUAACUUGAUAAGUUGGAUCGGGUUUCCCUGCCUUCAAGAUACUGAGUGAACUCGGCGAGUUAAUGAAACAACUCAGCGAGUUGGCUAGGGCUUUUUCUAGGUUGUCUGAACACUGAAGGAACUCGACGAGUUGCUAGAUGCACUCGACGAGUUGGGUCAACAUGGACUAUUGACCUAGACUGCUAACUUUGACUUGGACCAGGGUUGACCAAGUUUGACUUCAAGGGUAUCAUUGUUAAUUUGGGGUUUUGUUGAAGUUAGUUGCAGGGUGGUUGUAGGCAGUUGAGCUCGAAGUUGUGAGUUGGAAUUUGAUUUAACCGGUUCAAUAAUUCUUGAGAGGUGAGUCUCCUCACCAUACCAAUGGGUCGAAGGCACCAAGGCCGACCCAUUAUGUGAUAUAUGGAUUGCUAGUGGAUUAUGUGUUAUGUUGGUAUGACAUUUGAAUGGAAGACCCCAUGGGGGCAUCCCAUGGCAGUAGAUUAAGACCAUGUAGGGGUUCCCAUGGCAUUUGGUGUAACAUCUUGGAGGCUUUCCAUGGCAUCCUGGUAUAUUUGUAUGUUUAGCUCGCAUGAUAUUUCUUUGGUUAGCUAAGACCAUGUGGGGGUUCCCACGGAAAUUAGUGAAGACCAUGUGGAGGUUCCCAUGGCUGGUACAUAAGACCAUGUGGGGGUUCCCAUGGGAGUGGUUGUGACCACAAGGGGGUUCUAGUGGCACCUGGUGUAAGACCUUAGAGGGGUUCCAUGGCAUCCUUAUAUGUUUGUAUGCAUGGCAUAUGUGGUAUCUGUAGCUAAUACAUACUAAUAUGAUUUAUGUGAUUAUGUGGAUUGUGUGGGGUAUGCUCCGGGGAACUCACUAAGCAAUAGAUUACAGUUUGUUGGUUGUUUCAGGUACUUCAGGAUAUAAGUAGGGUUGUUCAGUAUUCGGAUAAAACCGAAUUAUCCAAUUGGACAAUUUGGAUUGGACUAUUUGGUUCGAAUAUUCGUAUUUUUGGAUUGGUUUUCAACAAAACCGAAUUAUUAUUGUGGAUUUCGGAUUGGUUUUGGUUUAUAAAAUAAUAACCGAAUAGUCCAAAAAAACUGAAUAAAUAUUUAUUAUUUAUGUAUUUAUAAUAUAUAUAUAUCUAUAGUUAUUUAUUAAUUUUGUAAUUUAUUUUUUCAAAUAGGUUUAAAACGUUUCACCCGAUAAAAAUAAACAUUAAUAUGCAUUUUCUACUCAAAAGUUUUCUAUCAAUAAAAUAUUUAACUAUAAUAUAUCUUCUUAUUAGUUGUUUAUAAUUUUCAAAUCGCAACUAAAUAAUUUUUUUGUUGUGUAAAGUUGGGUAAUAUUAUACUUAUACGUCGUUUUAAAAUGUUUCGGUUUUUGAAAACCGAAUUAUAAAACCGAUGCAACCGAAUUGUAAUUGGAUCGGAUCGGAUCGGAUUUGAAUUUAGUUUGAACUAUUCGGAUCCAUGUUUUAAAAAUCAAAAUCAAUUUGGAUUCACCUGAUUGGAGCGGAUCAAACCGAUCCAUCCAAAAAACACCCCUAGAUAAGGGCAAUGGCCUGGCUUGAUGGCGUCGCAUGCACUCUCUGGAGAUUUGUUUAGAUGAAUGAAUUACUGUUAGACAAAGCAAUUCAAUCCAAACUUGUUCAGCGCCUUCAUUCAUUAACAAUCUAUUUGUGUGAUUGUUCGGUAAGACCAUGAAUUUUUCACAAGAAGAGCGUUGAUGGUAUAGAAUGAGCUCAUUCCUUCUCUUUCUAUACGAACAAGAAUUUCUUAUUCAUCAAAUUGAUGUGGAGGAGUGAACUUGACAUAAUAUUUUCUGUGAGGGGAGAUGCGCAGAUUAAGUAAUUCGAUAUCACAUGUUGGGAUUUCAUACAAUCUUCCUUCAAUGUAUUAUGGAAAAAUGCUUGACAAAGGAUUAGGAUUAUCCUUUAACACUUAGAUUCAAAUACUCUCUUCAAUCGAUUAAUCGACUUGAUCUUGAGACCAACCAUCAGACUUUUUCAACGACUUCAUUGUGAUGAUUUGAGAUAAAGUGAUCCCUUAGCAUUUUUCUUUGAUCGGAUCUCUAGGAGUGAUUUGUAUCAGUUGUUGAACAACUGGAGUCAUAGGACCUACUGUUAUUAGCAUGACCAAGUUCAGAGUAGGCAAACCUUCAUCCCUCUCGAUUGUGGAAACUUUAUCAAUUCUGACAAUAUUUUGAAGAGGGAUCAGAGGCGACUCGUGUGGAGUUUCUCAGAAUUUGUCAAUGGAUAGUCAUUUUUUUAACCGUAGCACGAUCCUUGUUGUUUUUGAAAGAUUUGGCUAGGUUUGAUGGCCAGGAAGACCAAUUCUUUUUCUCUGAAUCAGAAAUGAGUUUUUCGAAAGAAGACGGAUCUCUCUCAAAUUGGAGUGCUAAAAGGGCUUCAUCAUUAACAAUCAUCUCAUUAUCAUCUUCUUUUUCAGAUGUUUCAUCUCAGAUUUAAAUUUUCAAGCUUCGUUUCAAUCCAUUUACAACUACUUCACCCCAUCUUGCAUCAGAAAGCCCUACUGAUACAUCCCAAAAAUCAAAGAAAUUUAAAUUUUUCAAAAACAACCCGUUAAGCAUAAAGUGUUUAAAAAAAUAACCAUUGUUUCAAAAGUAUAAUCAGAAUUAGAGUAGCCCAAGGUCCAAUGUGAUAAUAACAAAAAGAUGUGCAUGAUUAUUGCUUCGCUUUCCCACGAUCCUCUAAAGUACUUGAAACAAUAAACUGAAACCGUAAGUCAAAGCUUAGUGAGUUCUCCCAAAGUACCAUCAUACAACAUAACAAAAAAUAGCUUGCAAAUAUGAGUCUUCAGCCUGACUGACCGCCUCGCAGGGCCUACAACUUAUUUGUACCACUCUCCGGGCUUUCGGCAUGAUUGGACUGCCUCACAAGGCCUACAGCCUAUCUAAAUUGCCCCCGGAAACCUGGCCUUUAGCAUAAAGCAAUACCACCUCAAUCUAACCACAAUAUGUCGACAUAUGUAACAGAUAAUCGUAAACACAUAUCCAACAAAUACAGAUAAUCAUAUAGAUCUUCUAAUCAAUCAUAUAACUAGGAUAACACCAUCCUAUAAACUAUUAUGAGAGCGCCAUUCGCGUAUGUCACAACCCAGUGCAACAUUUCAAGACCAAAGACAUUGCACGGAGGUAUCACUUUAUCAAAGAUCACGUGGAAGAUGGAAAUGUCGAGAUUCACUUUGUUACAUCCUCUGAUCAGUUGGCAGACAUCUUUACAAAAGCCUUGCCUGAACAAACAUUUAAUCGCAUUCUUCAAGGCUUAGAAAUGAUUGAGGCCGAAUCAGUUCUGAACCACCUUCGUUGUCUUAAAGUUUUGGUUGAACUGCGAAUUGGUGUGAAUGUUCGCAAUGACUCGCAGUCCACACGUUCGCAGUGACUCACAGUCUACUUUCACACUACGAAUUUGUGCGAAUAUUUGUACUGACUUGCAGUCUACUAUUCGUUCAUGGUUUGGAACUUCAUGUAUCCUUUUUACAUUUUUUUAUUGAUACUUAUUUCAUUUUUCUGUUUUUAUUUCAUUUUCAGAAAAUUAAAAAUCAAAAAAUAUUUUAUUUCUUUCUGUUUUUAUUUCUUUUUAAGAAAAACAAAGAUACAAAAUUAUUUUCUUUAUCUUCAAUUUUUAUUUCUUUUCAUAAAAUAUUCAAAAAUACCAAAAAGAUUAGACAACUGAGCAGAAUUGAAGACACAUACCAUGAUGGUCUUAAUUAUGAAUGAUGAGGCAGGUGAAUUUUUCGAAUCUAUGCACUAGUUAAGUGUCCCUAGAAGCAUGUUGUUGCAUUUAGUCUGGAGCCUCUAAGACUCUACGUUGAAGCCUUCAUGAAUCGAUAACACCAAUCGUUUCUUCCCAAUUAGGUUGUUCAUUCACAUAAGUCAUGAGCUACCUUACUCUUCUGGUAUUGAGUUAAUAGUUGAUUGCUUGGUCACUUUCGCAUAGCAUAGGUACAAUUUUCAUUGGAACCAACUCCCACUACUUCUUCAUCACUUUCGCAUUCAUGAACGUAACCCUUGAGACUCUCAGAUAUUACCAGUGAGGUUUACGCUUACACAACAUCUGUUUUUUUGAUCUUAAAUUCGUUACAACCACGAAUUGAGUGGAAGCCAAAAUCCAACACAUAUUUAAUAAUUUACGGUGAACAAUAAACAUGUUCUAGAUUUUUGACCAAGGAAUUAACGAAUGUCCACCUUUGUGGUCUGUACCCUGAAAUCUCUUUUUAUUUUUUUGCGAACUUAAUGAAAUGUUCUAGUCCUAAGACGUUUCUUCACAAUAGAUCAAAAUUUUGUUUUUAUUGAGAUUUCUACACUUGUCCAUCCACUAAAAAUAAUUCCAAAGCAUACUUGUUCUUAUGGCUACACUGGUCAAACUAGUACUUCAUACGAAUGUUCAGACUUAUUUUGAGUUUCAGACUUAGUUGAGAAGAAGCUGUCACACCCCGCUAAAGCGGAAACACGAUGCGUGGCAGUACAAAGGGUUUCAUAGCAAAAGUUUAAAGACAACACCAACCAUAGUAUUAAAAACCAUUACAAAUUUACAACGGGUUUGAACAACUUUUAAAAGAAAUUACAAUGUAAAUUGAAAUGCAACACAUGCGAAUGCUCCUAAAAGUGAUGUGUCCCUAAGUGCCACCUACUUGAUGAUUCCUGAAAAAGCAUGUAAAACGAGCGUCAACUAUAAAAAUAGUUGGUGAGUACUCACAAGUUUAACAAAAUAAUAUUGGUUCAUGAGUUGAAAUCAAAGUUUUGAUAAAAGUUUCCAAUAAUAAAAGUAUAUUGUUAAAACGAGUAAAUAAGUUUGUAAACACAGUCCAUUGUCAUCAUGAGAAAUAAAGUAUGUUGCCAAAAGAGAUGCAACGUUCAUAUCCUCAUGGGAAAUAAAGUUUGAUACUAAAAUGAGUAAACAAGUUUCAUUGCUACAAGGAGCAAACAAGUUUGUUACUAUAAGAAUCAACCAAGUUUGUUGCUAAAACAAGUAAAUAAGCAUUUAGUAACAAAAGUUCAUUGUUAUAAUGAGAUACAGAGUCGAUUGCUAUAAUUGAUAAACGAGUUUAUUGCCAUAAUAAAUAACAAGUUUAUUGCCAUAAUGAGUAACGAGUUUCGUUGCUAAAAUAAGUAUUCAAGUGUCGUUGCUAACAUGGGAAUACAAGUUUCGUAUGUGCAUAAAGAAUAGUAUGUGCAUCAAGUUUCCAUUCAUGAGUUCACAACCCAAGCCUAAUGACCGAAUCGUGCCCUAUUGACUACUAUGUGAAUCGCAAACAUAGUGUAGAAAAUGGUAAAACACACUCAAGCAAAUCGUGCGAGUGAGGAGUUGUCUACCUCCUGAUAACGCUAUCCAUAAUAACCAUAGGCUCAAAAGAGUUAAUGAGUUGUGUCUAGAGAUUCCAGGGACUUAACCGCGAUACAGUCCUCAUGAAUUAAAGUAACAUACACAUACAUACGAAAUAUAGCAACCAAGUUUCAUACAAGUCAAAAUAAAUACAACGAACAUAAAAAUAGUUUAGGACAUGCAUUUCCACCCCAAAACAUUUAAAAAUCGAAAAUAGGGGAGUGCGUGAAUACUCACAAUAUGCAUUGAGAUGAUGCAAAUGAUGCCUUGAGCUAAGAUCCACUCGUACCACUAUCGAUUCCUACAAUAAUGGUAUUCGCUAGUGAGUCUCUAAUCGAAAUCUAACACUAGUAUACUUACUACUACAAUAGAAUUAUGCCAAUAAUGUGUCAAAAUUUAAUAUUGAUAAGUUACAAACAUUUUUCUAUGGAAAUUAAGUUUCAAAGAAUCAAUUGUUAUAUAACAAUUUAAGUGGAAAAUUUUCCAUUAUUGGAAUGUUAAUAUUUAACAUUUUAGAGGUGUUCCAAUGACUAAAUAUUCAAAAACCAAAUCAAUUUAGUUCUAAAAUUUCCCAAAGUUUUCAUUUCAGUUUUAAUUGAAGUCAAAGACCUUAAGAUAAAUUUUCUUGACUUUUUGAUUUGUCUAAUUAUUUUUCACCAUUUAAUUCCUUGAAUAAUCAUAAAAUCGUGGAAAAAUAGUAAAAAGUUAAUAAAAAUUACCAAACUUCAAAUUUUUGUUCUAAAUGUUUUAAAAGACUUCUAGAUAAAUUUUCAUGAAUUAUGGGUAUGUAUAACCAUUUUUCAUAUAUUUAAUUGUCUAAAUAGAUAAAAAUUCAUGAAAAAUACCAAUGAGUUAGGAAAAUUCCCCAAGCUUUUUAUAACACUGUCAUUACGCAUAUUUAAUCUGUGAAAAAUAUAAAAAUGGGUUUCUAAACUGUUUAACCGAUUUUUACGAUUUUUGUGCAUUUAUUAUAAUAAAAAUUGAAAUAAAUAGAAAAAAGUUUCCAAAAUUAUCCAAACUUUUUUAUUACUGUUACUAAACAUUAUUAAGCUGGGAAUAAUAUCAAAAAUCGAUUUCUAAGCUGUUUAACCUAAUUUUAUGAUUUUUGAGCAUUUUUUCUAAUAAAAAUUGAAAUAAAUAGAAAACAGUUUCCAAAAUUAUCCAAGCUUUUUAUUUAACUGUUAUUAUACAUAGCUAGGCUAGAAAAAUUAUAAAAGAUAUUUUUCAGUGGGUAUUUCUAUUUUUGCUUGUUUUAUCCCCUUAAAUAAUCAUUAAUUGAAGAAUAAAUAACAAACAGUUAAAAUAAAUAACCAAAAAUUUUUUUUAACAUCAUUUACAGUGUAAGUAAUCUGGGAAAAAUACCAAAAGUGGUUUUCAUCUUGUAUAAUCUGGUUUUGGGUAAUUAUGUGUAUUUAAGUGUAUUUAAGUGUAUUUCACCUUAGAAAAUAGGAGAAAAAUAGUAUACAAUAAAGAAAAAUCAUCAAAACUUUUAUGUAACCGUAUACUGUACAACCUGAUGUUCUGGUAAUAUUUCAUGAAUUUUGGAUAAUCAGAAAUAUUUUUCCUAUUUUAGGCCAUUAUAAUUACCAAAAAAUGGGAAAAAUAGGAAGGCAUGUUGAAAAAUUCUGAAAUUACUUUUCUGAGCCUCCCACCACAGUUAAGAGCUGCGAAAAUUGUUAGAUACAAUUUGCAUACUACCUAAAGCGGUUUUGUGAUUCAUUAUACCCAAACAAAAGAAAAUCGUAAAUUAUACUAAACAGCAUUAUAAAUCGAUGAAAUUUAGUGAGAGAUCAUUAUUCUCCAUAGGCGUCAUUCACGAAUUUAUUUUGGAUUUGUAGACCUCUGGAAAUAUUUUAUAUGAUUUAUUCCCUAUUUUAUUGAAUUAAUUAUAAUAAUUAGAGAAAAAUGAAUUAUCUUCUGGAAAUUUACAGAGCAUCUUCUUUUGUUGAUGAGAAUCUGGGAAAAAUCGGAUUUGGUCAGAAAAUGGUUUUUAGAUAUUUAUUUGGAAAUAAAUCUUUCAUUAAUAUAUUUGAAAGCUUUUUAACAACAAACUUUGAUCAUCAAGCAUCUAAGCUUGAAGAUCAUCACAUGCAUGUUGUUUUGAAGACCAUUCAUGAGUUUGAAUGUUCAAAAAUCGUUUUCGAUAGAAAAGUUUGGAUGCAUGUGGUGAUUUUCCACCAAAACGUGUAGAAAAGUGCAUUUUCAUGGUUUUGACUUAGGUUUGGGUCAUGGAUCUUCACCAUUUUGUAACUUGCAAGAUGCUUUUGGUGAAAAUCUACCUCCAUCAACAUCAAAACUGAAGUGAAUGGACAUUCACACAAAUUUUCUAAGAGAAUGGUGUAGAAGAACAAGAGUGCAAGAAAAACCUUUAAAACUAGAAAGAAAAGUGAAGGAGAUUGAAAGAUUUUCUUGAUUACCAUGGAGAAGAACCCUAGAAGAUGAAGAUUUGAACGUUAAGAGUUGUUCUUGGCUUGAGAAUUUCGUGGUUUUAGAGGGAAAGAGAGAGUUUAAGUGUGGUAAAUGUUGGAGUGUGAGAGAGAAUGAAGGGUAGAGUGAGAGAGAGAGAGAGAGAGAGAAGAUGGAGUGAUAGAGUGAAUUGAUUAUGUGUUGGGAAGAGGAGAGAGAGGAGAGAUCCGAAUUUUUAAUGAAGAGAGGGUCUCCCUCUUUUAAAUUUUAUAAAAUAUAACUUUAUUUUAUAAAAAUAUCAAGUUUUUAUAAAACAUGCACCUUAUUCUAAAUUUUCCUUCACAAAACCUUGAUUUUUGGCUUAGAAAAUAAGGUUAAAUACUAAUGACUUAAAUUUUUUUUCCUUGGUUAUAUUUUACUAAAUUGAGUUAUUUUAAAUUGAUAUUAUAUAGUCCAUACCAAAUUUAUGGAUUUUUAGGUGUGUAAAGUUUAUAAAUUUGAGUUUUUAGGGCAUUUAGUGUUUUUGAGAGUUUGUAAGUCUUUGGAUAUUAAAAUUAAUUAAUUUUUGAGACUUCAAACUAUUUUAGAGUUUUAUAACUCUUAUUCAAGUUAGAAAUAAUGUUUGUAAUAUAUUUUUUAUCGGUUUAUUGGCAUUCUAUGUAGUGAUUCCGAGAUUCAAGCGAAAUUGAGGAAUCAAGUAUACUAGUCCUACUCUUCAACUUUGACUUAAGUUUCUAUGAGACUCUGACCUAACUGUUACUUCUAGGUCAAGUACAUGAUAUGUGUAUAUGAUUCAUGAAAUGGUGUUCAAGUCAAAGAGUGACCCUAAUAGAGAUAGUCACUAAAGUUAAGUAGUAGUAGAAUUCACAUAUCAAUGUGAAAUCUAAGCACAUUAUCCAUUGUUUCCAAUUGUUUCCAAGUUUUUAGUAGGUUAUAACUUACCUUCUAGUUACUAAGUCUAAUAUGUGUUGUGCCUAUAUGUGCAACUAAGUCUAGUCAAAUCUAGAACCGACUCGAAUUUUGACGGUUGUCACAGUCUCCCCCGGUUGAAAGAAUUUCGUCCCGAAAUUGAAUUUGUGACGAAUUCUAUUAGAACUAAACCGGAUGCAAUUGUAUAAUUGGAGAGGUGGUGUCUUUGAGAACUCUUUGAUUAUUUUGGGUUAAUUCUCCAAGGGAAGAGCCCAGUUCUUUAUCUAUAAUCAAAGUAAUGUUUCCUUAACUCGAGUUCUAUAGUCUAGAAUGCAAGAAAUUAGGAUCAUGGAAAUCAUGAUCUGACCAUGGCGACCUAGUUGAAAAGAUUAUCUAGUUAGAUAUUAUCUGAAUUAAGAGAGCGAUAUAAGUUUUGCUGAAUCACCAACUGCACUGAGCGUUAAAUCCGCAUUGAUGCUUUAGUCACAUUCUAAAUCGGCACUAAGUGUAAAUUUAUCGCCUGUUAAAGAAAAGAUUAGGAACAAUUUGUUCACUUCCGGGUUGGCUAUUACAUUUGGAAAAGAUAUAUUCCGAAAUAAGAAGGGGUAGCACGAAUGAAAGGGAAGCGAUCGAGGGUAAGUUACUAAAAAUACGUACUAAGGGUAGGCAACGAAGUUUUGGUACAUCUCAAAUAUAAAGUCUAUUUUAAGUGUCGUCUAUAAGAUAAGUUAUGAAACGAUCGAGGAUUUCCGA
rnacentral:lncRNA from 1 species